UUUUUUUUUCAUGUUUCACCUUUCUACUCUAAUUAACUAAUUAUAUUUACUUUACUGAUAUUUUUUGAAUAAAAAUAUACUUUUAGAAUGUUGUAAUAGUAUUUUUAAUAUGUUAUGAAUAUAUUUUUAAAAUGUUACAAUUGGUAAAUCUUGAUGUUGCAAACUUUGUUUGUACGUGAUGUCUCCCUCCGAGGAUGUUGCAUGAAACAUGGUGCCAUGUUGCGGCGGGAAUUUUCUAUCCUCGAAUAGGACGCAAGAGUCAUUUUUAUUCACGUAUUUUUAGUGUUGCAGACAAUAAUUUGUAAUGUUGCAGAAGUUAAUUUUCACUGUUGUGAUGGAGCGACCGAUAAGAAAAUUUCCAUCGGACAUCUGGGCACUAGUAGCUCCAUAAAGAAAUUGGGAGAGGGGAUUGGAGGGAGAGAGGAUUUGGGAAAGAUUGAUCCAAUAUUCUUCCGCAGUUUUAAUUUUGCAUCUCCAAAUUACUUAUUGAGGCUAGAAUCUAGAUGCUAGAACACCGAGGAUGACUCGAGCCCAACCGUCGCCGCCCCACAAGCCCCUCCCCACUCCUUCAUGUACCUCGCUGUUGUCGGAGAGCAUUGCUGGAAGCCCGCGCAGACUCUAAGAAGGCGGCGGCAGGAGGAUUUUCUCCAUUCCUCCUCCUCCUCCCAACCAUCUUUGUUUGUGACUCGAUUCAGUCCCUUCCACGCAGAUCUGGUGGUUCCUCACGAUUUCUUGUGGGAUUCGGGCCGGAGACGGUGCCUUCAGAACUCACGGUGGCAAUUGGACAUGUGCGUUUGGCCCCCUGAUCCGUGUGUGUCCAGAUAUGGCAUCAGGGAGGCGGUGGCUAUCUCCGGCCAAGCGACGGCGCCCACACCCCACCCAACUUCCAGGUGUGCUAGUGUGGACUCCGGUGAUUACAAUCACAAGCGUCGUGCUUGAAAUAGGUGCUUUGGAUCUCGCUAUGUGGCGUGUGCGUGUGGUAUGGGAUGCACUUCAUCAACAUCGGGUUUCACGUACUUUGGCCUCCAAUAAUUGGCGAUGGCAUUGUCUGGGACGUGCUUAGUUGACCCCUUGGGGAUAUGUUGUGGUUGGCUAGGAUGCGGUGGUGAAAACCAUCAUGGCUUUAGAGCCAGCUUCGAUGGCAAUGAUGCCUUUAGGUGUUGUUUUCCUUCUUGAGGGCGCCACCAAUGUGUCCCAAUCCCACCACAUCACUAGGUCUCCAGGUGAAAACUUUGCCCUAGCGGGAACUGUCAGCAGUGACUAUCAUUGUUUCCUCAGUAGAGGCGUCAUUUUGGAGGCUUUUGAGUGGUGGUGUACUUCAUGCGGGUAAUGUUGCUGCCUAACUUUGAUUCUUCAACGGCAAUUGGUAUCUUAUUUAUCCCCGCUGGCUGCUGUUUAUGUUAGUAGAAGUGUGGAUGGUUUUGCUGCAGUCUUGGUUUGGUGGUUAGAAUGUCAAUCAGCAAAUGGAGUUGCUUCACUUCCCCAUUGUUGGAUAUGGCUCAUGCUUUGGUUUUGAUUUCACCUAAUGAGGAGAAGUUGGUUCAUUGGGAGGUAAUUUUACAAAACAAGCCACAUAGGUAGAUUAUCUAAGUAGCUUUGUUACAAAUUUUGAGUUUCUUUUUUUCUUUUAUUUUGUUAUUUCUCUUUGGUACAUCAGAUCUUCUGAUGUGUCGGCUACAAGCUCUCUUAGAACAUGUAGCUCAUUGCAAUGUUUAUGGUCCGAUGCAUUCUCAAAAGAGAAUUUCUGAAGUCGGAAUAUCAUCUUCCAUUACCUAAAGAAGAUUACUUAUUGAUACAAUGCAUAGUAAAUGACUCAUGGUAGUUACUUGAUAUGAAUAAAAUAUGGAAGAGUUGAAUAUAGAAAGGCAAAUAUGACUGGAUUGUUUAAGAUCAUUAUGAAAUAGGAGAGAGAAAUUGGAUGGGAGACUCUCAUUUAGGUGAAAUAGGGGCCAAAAGUAGGAGGUGGGUUGGAGUUGCUCAUAGUACCAUCACCAGCACCAUGCCCGGAUCUCGGUAGCCCAACCAUCCAAGGACCCAGAUAUCGCAGAUCUGCACCACCCCAUCAUAUCGAGCACCCAAACCGGGCUAUGGUAGACGGUAGAUGACAAGGCGGAAUCAAAUUUGAUACAAGAGUUUACAUCUCCAUGUGGAUACGAGCAUCGUCGCAUAGAACCUAGUGAGGCUGUCGCCAUUGCCGUCAUCUCCCUCGUUAGACAGCUCUACAAAUAUCCAUGCUGAUGUGCGCGGCAUCAUAAAAGUUGUGUGUGUCAGAGAGAGGGGAGAGAGAGAGAUGAGAAGGAGAGGUCAAAGGCCUUGUGACCGCCGUCCUUGUAGCCAUGUUGGCUUCUGACAGCUUGGUUUCGCUGCACCAGAUAGGAAAAACCCAGGGAAGGGUUGUUAAGAAUGAGUGGCUACCUGAAGCACCCCGUAGGAGGAGUGACACAGGAGCAAAGAGGGCUUAUUAGGGAUUUUAGGAAAAUCUAUGGCACAUCACAUGCCCAACCAUAGACAUAAUUCAAAAAAAUAGUAAAGAAUUUACAAAUAUAAAUAGCACAUAAUUCCAUGUAAAACCACAAUCAAAUUUAUAAUUAAACAACAUAUUUAUAUCCCAUAUGGUAAUAUAUGUCACAAACUUCAAUAUGCUCAUACAGUACAUCCAUCAACAUAUAUCUUAGAUAGUCCUUGAAAUAUACAUACACAUACAUGCACACAUCCCCACCAAUUAUUAAGAACAAACACAUAUAGACAUGCAUGCAACAAUACAGUGCUUCGAAUAGUACAAGCAUAUACAUAAUUAGCUUAGCUAGUUACCAAAAUAUAGAAACCAUGCAUUAUUUCACAAAAUGCGAUGUAGCUAUAGGCAUAAUAUAUUUAUGUGACCCAUUGUCUCGGCUUCCCUCUUCACUCUAGUAUUUCCAGAUGCCAUCCAUGUCCUUGGUGGCCACGGACUCUGGGUUUGCAGAAAUCAUCUGUGAUAUCUCAUCAGCAUUGGCCUGGUCAUGGUCUACCCCUGUGUCCUUUUGUGACACCAUCAAAGAAGGUCCACUCUUCGAUGCACCUAGGAAGCUGCUAGCGCCUUCUGCUCCCAUGCCCAUCUGGUGGUAGAUGGACAUCGGCGGCGCCACAACCAUCGAGUUCCCAAACAAGGUGCUAGCCACUUGAAGACCGAUGUUGCCCAUGCCUGACAAAGGUGGCAUUACAGGUGGCACCGCUAAGGAUCUUGCGUCAACGGUGGAGUAGUAGGAUGCCGCUGGGUCCAUUGUGAAGUCUGAUAGCAUGGAAAAUUGUAGCGGCAUAGGCAUAGAGAUGCUACUCUGGUCAAUUCCACCGCCAGUCAUGGCCACGUUGAACAAUGGUAGUGCAGGUUCCCUCUUUACCCUAGUGGUCUUGUCAAACACGCGACAGACCACCCAUUCAUCCUGCAUUAAUUUGAUAUAUGUAAACCAACAAUGAAAUUAGGUUAGUGUAGACACAACAAGAAUAAUAAUGAAUGCAUGUAUGGAAGUGCUAGCUACUACCACCUCGGAAGAAGAUGAUUUAAUGGUAGUAGUGGAAGUUGAGCUAGAUGCAGGGCAGGGGACCUUAUUGGUGCCUUCAAGCCUGAACUCGUGCAUGACCCAGUCGGUCUUUUUGCCAGUGGGAGCCCUACCCUUGUAGAAGACGAGUGUCUUCUUCAUGCCAACAAGCAGCGGUAGCUCAUCCUUUUUUGCGGCCCUAUAGAUCUCUCUAUCCUUCCCCGUGGCCUUCCAGUAGCCGCCCUUCGUGGCCCGGUUCGUCCUCUUUCCCGUUGGGUACUUACGGUCCUUCAGAUAAAAGAAGUACCACUCUUUGUCCCCCAUCUUCGCCUUGCCUACAUAAUGAUUCAAGGAUAACUCACUAUAGUGUGACCAUGGACCAUAUGAACAGGAUAUAUAUGUGUAGAGUGUGUACCAGACAGUUCCCAUGGCUCGAUCCUAUUCAAGUCAACCUCUCCAAUGGCAGUGCAAGAGAAGUUGCUUUGAUGAACCUUGGGCUUGAGGUAGAAGGUGAUUAUCUCCUCAUCGCUAGGGUAGAACCGAAACCCUGGAGGCAGCUGAAGGCCAUCCUUGAUGCUCAUCCCUUUUGGUUGCACCUUUUGUCCUCCCAUGCUUCUCUGCUCAUUAUGAUUAGAAUCACUAACAAGUUAAGCAAACAACCAGGAUAAGCAAUAAGGAAUAUAAAGAAUAUUGGAAAAAAUAAAGAAGUGAACCAACAUGUGCAAACACUUCUUGGUCCACCGAUUAUCCUCGAUCUCUCUGUCAGAGCUUGAGGUAGAUGCGGGCUAGAUUAUUUUGAUGCAAAUAGCAGGAGACUACAACGGUUUAAAUAGGCAGGAGGCAUGUGCAAGCAAACCACUUUCGGUGGAAGGCUUCCACCAACUUCCUCCUUUUUCGGUCUAGAUGUUUCUACAAGGCAUUGGACGCUUGCUCUUUCCACCUAUGUUGUUCUUGUCCCCAUGCACCACUUGGUCACUUUCGGCUGGGACUGCGACUCCUGGUGAUAGGUACUCAGCAUCUUGAAUCUCUCUAACGGUGUGCCUGCUAUGAUCCCCCUCCGGUUUGCCUACCUUGGUUUGCAAUUUCACUGGACGUAUGUGUAACCUAUGCAUGCCACUCCUAGCCAUUGACUUGCAUGAAUGUAGAGUUGUACUAUAUGUCUGGAAGCUAGCCACUCAUCAAGACGUGCACACAUUAGCAGGUGUUGCGGCUGCUACAAGGCAUUCAUGGUGCAAAAGUAGAUAGGCCUACGUGGCUUUCACGUUUCUAUUACAUGGGUCUGUGGGCAUCCAUCUGGGACAAGGCCGGUGGCGAGUCAUCAUGAUGUGGUUAGUGAUCAUUGCAUGUUCUCAUGUUCUUUUCUUGAUAAGUUUAGAUGUAAAGAGAAUAUGUGCACCUCAUUGUUCUUUAUGGUUUAUUCUGUGGAUGAGUUGUCUGUUGUUGUGUAUGUGGACACUUGAUGUAUCUAUCUAGUUGGUCAUGUUUUGCUUGUGUUUAUCAUCUCAUAAAACUAUGCAUAUAUUGUUGUCAAAUGUACAAGUUUGUACAUCUAUGCAAAAAUGUUUAGGGUCACCAACAUGCGAGCUCUAGAAACUAUGGGAAAUUUUCCUAGCAAUAAGCUAGGGGCGGACAAGUGACAACAACAGCUUGAUUUGUGCAUCCAUGCAUGCACAAGGAUUUUUCCUUUUAUAUUUUUAUUUUCAAGACAUAAUUAAGUAAAUAUGUGCUCCAAUCCAUAAAUUCACAUUGUGCGUCUAUAUACAUGACUAUGUGCUUUCCAAGCUGAUUUAUGGCAUGCUUGCUUUUUAUCAAGAAAAGUGGUUGCAUCUUGUGCUUGUCCUUGUGUUUCAUCUCACCUAAGAGCCUCAAGGUGUGAAAUACAUGAAUGUUCAUGCUUAUUAAUUCCUUAGCUUUUAUCUAUCCCUCUACCAUAUCAUGGCCCAACCUAAAACCAUGACCUAGUGUGCAUCACCACAAAUAAAUCCUGCCAAAAGUUUGAGGCUAACAUAUCUUCUAGGGAAUACACAUAACAUCGCCCCUUUUAUAGUAUGUGUCUCAUGGGGGCUAAUUUGAUUUAGUGGAACUACUAUAAAAGUGAUAUCAGCCAAUAAUGGAUGGCACUGCACCAUCCUCAUUUUCAUGCAUGAGAAAAACAAAGGUGCAUGGGAUGAAAAGCUAGGCUCGCCAACCACUAAUGCUCAUCGAAAUUUACCACAUCCAACCAAUGAAGUCUUGGAUUCCACACGUGAACUAAGGUGAUACGAAGAAUUAAUGCAAUGUGGUAUUAGUAUUACACUCGUACCACUAUAUUAUUCUCAAACUCUACCUCGCCACAUCAUCAUCGAACGGCACCACUCUCCCAUCCCCAUAUAUGUGAUCUCCUCCCAUCAAAAUGCAAAGGAUAAAUUAAAGCUGCACCCUGCCACUAUUGUUCUCCUCCUACAACACGUGGUAAUAGAGCCACAUCAGCAUCAUAUAUCCUACCACAAGUCCAUCAACCACUCUAAGCAUACCUCUAUGUUGGCUGGCGUCACCGACUAGCACCAAAAUGACCGUUAAUACAGCGUGUCGGUCUGCAUCGGUGCUUUGCUGGGCCAUCAUAACUUUAGGAUGGCAGAAAAUGAUACCUCCAAGCAUGUCUUCAUAGUGCUUCGAUCCUCUAUGGAUGUUGAAAGUCCUCAUGGCUACAUGUGGCAGUGGUGGAACGAGAUCAUCAUUUUCCGCAGCAUGAGGCACUUCACCAUUUCAGGCUAGCGACUGGGUCCCUCACCCUUGGUAGCUUAUCUAGAUCAUCAUGUUUUCAUCUUGCAAAUAUUUGCUUUUAAUUAAGGUGGAACUUCCUGGUAUAUGAGUAUGUUCACUAUCGAGUAAGCUUCUUAAUGGAACUUGCAACAUUCACUCAGUUUAUUUUUGCUCUACAAGAAAUAUCUAUGAUACCAAAGUUGUUUACUUGCCAAAGUCCAUUAGAGCAUUUGCAACUUACAUGCCAAGCCAUUCUCCUCUCGACUCCCAAAGAUUUGCAAUUUAUGCGCCCAUUUCCUUGACAACUACAUGCCAUUAUAUAUCGGUAUCCCCCUCCAAUCCUUUAUUGCUUCCACUCCAUAUCUCCCUCUAGAAACAAAAGCAACCAGCAUGACGUCUUCUACUCAUCCUUCCAACUACUCGAAUAAUGUGGAGGAGUAUGUCGCAAUAGGCACAGAGUAUGAGUUCGAUGGCCACCCAUUCUCAGAGGUAUUCUCCUCCGAUGAUGAAAAGUAGGUAGAGUUUCUGGAGGGUGGUGGUAGCCGUGGCCAGGGCGAUGGAGAUGAUGAUGAGGAGGAGGAGGAGGAGGACAGGGAGGAGGAGUCGGUGGCAGUGCCAGCGGUGGAGAAGGAGUAGGCAGUGGCAGAAGAGGCGCACACUAUGGUACCGGUGGAGAGAGGGUCCAAGAUUAGGCGGGUGGACGUCGAUGCCAGCGAACGGCCCUCUAGCAAUGUUGCUGCUGCUAGCAGCAAGGUCAGAGGAGGCAUCAUCGACCUAUUCCCCCACAAUAAUGCCACCGUUGAGGCAGCAUCUCCAGUGUGGGUGAACUCCUCGGUGGGGUCAUCGUUGAUUAAUUAGGGGGUUUCUUUUGCUUGUAAAGAGUAGGUCUUAGUAAUGGAUGCAACGAUUAUUGUUUUGGAUGUAAGAUCAACCCUCUAUUUUCUUAAUGUUAUUCUACUUGCAAAAUGCAUUGAUUUGUGUCUUCAUUUGGAAAGAAAUCAUCAUUUUACCUGGGUAGAUUAGACAUUAGGACUAUCCUACCUAAAGAUAGAUGAGACUUUGGAACUAAAUCUUGUAAACACUAUUUAUUUUGCUUCUAUCUUUAGUUUCCCCAUUGGUAUGUCAUGGCUUGUCAUGCCAUGUCUUGUCAUGCAUUUUUUAUUUAUCCCACCACAACUCAUGGUAGGUUGAAGUAGCCAAUGACCUGUGAUUGAUGAUAUUGAACAAUAACAGACUAUCACUUCCCUAACAUUUAACUGAUACAAACUAUAUAUCAUGUACUCUGCGAUUGAGAAAUUACCAGACUAUCCCUUGUCGUGACCAGUGUAGUAAUCAUUUUAUUUGGAAUUGUAUCUACCAUAAGAUUGGGAUGCACGUGGUGCCAAUUUUUCAAAAAAUAUAAGGUAGUCAAUUUUGAUAAGUAUUAUGAAAGGUAGGUGCGUAGGUACCAUAUCAAUUCCCUCUCCUAUCCACCAAUGCCAACCAAUUACACGAAUAAGAAGUUGUGUUCAUAGUAAGUCAUCAUGUUCCUUACUGUAGAAGUUGAUUUAAUCAUGCAUAGAUAUUUUAUUUUUAUAUUGAUUCAAAUUGGGACAGAUGAUGUCAUGGCAGUCCCAGUGCACUAGACACUACCAAGUUUUGCAUUGGAAAGUAGUGGUGUCUAUACCAUAGGUGGAGAAGGAAAAUGAUUGGUCAACAGGAGAGAAAGAACUAAGUGAGUAAUUAAUUGCUUGAGCUUUGGAUAGAGUUGUGCAUAGAAAAUAGUAGUUUCUAUAUAUCAUAGUGUUGAUAUAACAUGGUAUGGUUUCAUGUUUGGGACUACCCUAAUAAACCGCUCAUAUUGCAAUGACAUAUUAUUCUCUACCAUGACAUGAACAAUCUCAGACUAUCCUUUCACCUUGCUGAUUUUCCACAAGGAUUAUGGAAGGACUAAUCAUUGCAGAUUUGCUGUGGCUACUCACUAAGGUAGCAACAAAGUUCCCAUAACAUUUUCAUAACAAAUCUGCACUAAGAACACUAAUAACUAGUGAUAAUGAAUGUACCUACUACUGCUUCUUCUUCUCUUUCCAGGAUGAUGCAAUUGCAUCUACGUAGUGUUGGGUGUCAGUCUUAAGCAUCUCCAGCACCAUGACGAACACCAAUAGCUCAUCCUCCCUUAGGGACUCUACAUCUACCUCCCACCAGUUUCAUUUCCCUGCGCUCAUCUAAGCCGCCAAGAUCAUUCCCAGGCAAUAGCCUGACCCACCCCCUCCGCCUCAACUAGGGAACCGAUCUUCUUUGCUUUCCCCUCCAUCCUAGCCAUGCAAAAGGAAUAGAUGAUGCACUAAUGGUCACGGGGGAGUAGAUGUGGAGGAUGGCGUCAGUGGUGGGUGUGCUGUAGGUGUUGGCCUUGCUAGUGGAGGAGAAAGUGAAAACAGCGAUGUGGGUGUUGAACUCCUUGAAGAGGUCACAGCCAUGGAGAACAGUUUGUUCUUGCGCCUUCUGAAGCUUUCCGACGUUGAGCCUUUCUAUCGAUGUUGUGAAGCUCAUCUCCCAUAUAUUUGUGGCGGUGGCGAAUGGGAUACUGAUUCAUAGAAGAGAAUAUAAAAAAUAAGUAGCAAAGUAAUCCUACUACUCCAUGUGAAACGAUAUAGAUGAUGCUUAUCCAUCAAUCUUCAAAAUUUCUACUAUAAAUAGAAUAGGGAUGAUGAUUUGGGUUAGGCUCUAGUGUGGAUUUUUAGGUGGGGUAACCCGUAGCCUGUAGUCUUAGAUGGAGUGCCACGCAGUUCAUCGUGCGGGGGUGUAGUCUCGAGAGUCGGUGGUGGACUAGAGGUGGCGAACUCCUCGAGCUUCUUUUGCAUCUUCCUUUUCAAGUAAGAUAGUAUGAGUACAACAGACAUGAUCUUUCUUCUGGAUGUAGGAUUUUCUUUUGUGCCUUGAAUUGGGUGAAAUGCACUAUUCAUCUUCCAUCAAUAGGAUAUCCUUUGUACAAUUGUAGACUAUAUUUUAUCGUUAGUUUGAACAAGCACAUGCUAUCUUCUCCCUUUACAAUGAACAACCACAGACCAUCAUACUCUGCGAGACUAAACUACCAUGACCUUUCUUAUUAGAAAAAUUCUUAGGUCCACACUCUUACAACAGCACACCCCAACAACGAGAGCACCAUACAUUUUACUUUAUCCUAUAUUGGUGCACCAACUUUACUGAAACCACCAAUCCAGACCAUACAAAGACAUCUCUGUCGCACACCAACAUGGAACAUAUAGAUGCAACGGAUAAGGACGUGGCCACAUAGACACAACAAACAUGGUCAUGAAGACGAACAUGGCAUAACCUAUGCCUGCAAACCCGCUGCAGCACGGAAUCUAGUAAAACCAGCAUCAUCUCAAAGAAACUCAUCCAAUGCAUGAUGCCUAGCCCUCCUAUCCCAAUUAGCGGUACUCGAGCGACCAAUGCCAUAUGCAUACUACAGGAUAUCACAAUACCCCACCUCCAGCGGCAAGGUUGUAGAAAGGGUAAACAAAGUUACCGUCCUUCCUGCAGCCAAGCCAACACAGAUUUCUUCAACUCCCCCGUUUCAUCCUGCUCUGCUUGAUCCAUGUUUACUCAUCAUACGGAUCGACGAAGUCUAGCUGUUGUGGAGGUGGGAUGACCUCCAAGUUGCAUGCUCCGUUCGUUUGCCUAGCCAUCCUCCUACACAAAUAAACCAAUAGAACCACCAAGAUUACAAUGACCACAACAGUGAUCAUAACGUAUAACCAAGAUGCGUAAGCAACGAGAUCACCUAUCACAAGGCACAAAACCGAUGAGCUCGCCUACCACCACAAGUCACAAUGCAAGAUGCGCAACUAAUGAGCUAAUACACUGCCUGGCCACUCUUAUUAAAAAGCACCAUGUCCUAGUGCAUGAGAUUACAGUAUCCAUGAAACUCGAUCAGAUGCUCAGAAUAUGAAAGCCUAUACUGAUCAAGUCGCCUGCCACAAUUCUAGACCAGAAUCUGCAGUCUUUCACAAGUCACAAAAAUCGCGGCCCUCUGAAAUAAACGAAGGGUACAUGUGUGCACGUUGUUCAAGACAAAAAAAAAACAGGAUUAUCCUAUAUAUAUAUAUGCUCAUCGAAGGCACGAUGCCUAGCCCUGCCUCUGUCACAAGCAAUCAAAGCACCAAUGCCACGCACAGAGUGCAUGCAUGAUAUCACUGCACGUCUACCUCAUGUUAGAUGCGUGGCAAAAUGGCCUGCCAAGGGCAACAUAGUUUCGCACAACAUGAUUCCGGCAUAUGAAAUUAAGUGAAAGAACGUAAACUGUAGGAUAAGACAGGUCCAUAGCAGAAUCCGCAUGCUAGCACAAACCCCAAAUGGCCAAGGUUGCAUCUAAAAAAAUAAUUUAUUGAAACUGUAUCGAUUUUAUCUGUAUUUUGCUCACUAGUUUUAGAUGAAAUGCAACCGUGCGUGGGCCUAUAUAUUACACAUACUCGCAGCCCGUCACUCUGGUCGGCGAGAUGAAACAUACCCAGGUUCGCUGAGGCAUGGGUCUAUUUUAAAUACAUGCAGCCUGCCUUUGUGGUCUGCAAAAUGAAAUGUACCCAGGUUCACUGACACGUUGCUUUGAAACUGGCACGAUUUGUUAUAAUAACAAGGAAUGAUAAACCAAACCGGCGGAGAUAGGUGGGUUUUACUGGGGUCUAGCCACGCAGUGAAAGCAAGUGCUAUUUUCACUGUCAGGUCAUGGCUAGACCCAGCGGUGAAAAUCCAUCCAAUUGUAGAAAAAAAUAUAAUUUUUCAUAUGAAUUCAGAUAAACAAAUAUCAUAUCAAAAUUAUAGAAUUUGAAGAGAUCUAAAACUUUAUGGCCGAUAACCUUUUUAUUUGAUACAAGUUCUCUGACCUAUCAGACGACCUCAGAUGGAAAUAAGAUCAACCUUAAAGUUAUUGUACUCGACGAGAUCUGCAACUUUGUAGUUGACAAAGUUUCUAUUUUAAGAUAAUUUAGAGUGUCAAUAUGCAAAAUAAAAUUUGUACAUGUUAUGUGAAAAAAUUAAUCGUCUGCUAUAAAUCCGAGUUGUUGCGUAGCUGAGAUGAUGAGAAGGCACGAGCCUUGAGGUCAUGAUUCGGAACCGGCAGUAAUAACGAUAGAAGUUGCCAAUAACGAUGGUGAUGAGGAGUUUUAAGCAGCAGUGAUAAUAUUUAUGCAACAGUGAUUAAUGCAUGCAUUAAGCACCGCGUCAAUGUGCAAGAACGAUAAGAAAAGGACAGAAAGAAGUAGUUGUAGAAAGAACGGUAACGCAAAAGUGUACGUGGGUCAUAAAUCUUCUAUGAAUUGAAUAUUAUUUGCAUGAGACUAUUUCGGUACACGUACUACAUCCCGUUACGAACUUAGGGCCCGUUUGGCACGGCUUUGGCUUGUGAAAAAAUAACUUUGGCUCUAGCUCAUCUGGAAAAGCAGCUUUUUCUGACUCUGGCUUAUUUUGAAGGAAAACGUUUGGCAAAACGGCUUCUCCUAACUUUUUAGAUUGGAAAGAAGGUGUCAAAUGUCCAAAAUACCCUUAUAUUUUUCUCUUCUCUUUUUCUUUUUUUCUCCUCAUUUUCCUUUUCUUUUUCUUUCUUUUUUUCUUUCUCUUUCCUUCUCCCCUUCUUUUCUUUUCCCCUCCUCUCUCCUUAUCCAUCCGCUCCUCCCUCCCGACCUUAUCCGCACCCGACCGCCUGGCCCUCCUCCGCCCCUCCAGCGCCACCCCGCCGGCCCCGGCUCCGUCCGCCGCCAAGGCGCCGCCCCAGCACUCCUCCGCCCCUCCGCCGCCACAGCGCCACCCUGCCGGCCUCGGCUCCUUCCGCCGCCACGGCGCCGCCCCAGUCCUCCUCCGCCCCUCCGCCGCCACAGCGCCGCCCCGGCACUCCUCCGCCCCUCCGCCGCCACCGGGGACAAGGAUGGAAAGUGACGAGGAGGAGCCGGAAUAAGCCACUUUUUUUGGCUUCCGGUGGGUGGAGAAACGUAGAGACCGCAUUUUGCGGGGCUUCUACUGGCUUUCGCGGGUGAGCCGUUUUGCCUUCUCCCGUUUGGCACGGCUUCAUCAAAAGCCACCCUAGAAGCCGCUCGAUGAGCCGUGCCAAAGAGGCCCUUACUACGUACGAUUUAACCCACAGUGCACCUGUGCAACAAAGUUUAAUUCAAGGAGACCUGUGUGGAUUUUGAAUCCGCAAUUGUGUUGUCGUAUUCACGACAACAGUUCCAAUCUUUUCCAGCACUUAUUUUAUAAGUGACUCACAGUUCUCUAGUGUUCGGCUUUUGAUAGGGAUAUUUCACCUUGAUACAAUGAUCAAGAAAAAUAACUCUACUUAUCAUCUAAUUAAUGCAAAUAAUUUUUUCAUUAAUCCUCCAAUGGUUGAUGCAAUGACUCCCAUUUAUUACCGCGGCCCACAUUGUUGGCAAAUAGAACUAUCAUUUGUAAAAAUCUGAAUUUUGGAGAUAUACCUAUCAAAAUAGAAUGGAGGGAUAAUGUCGACAAAUUGCCAAUGUCAUUUCCAACAGACCGUUACUAAAAAUUACGGUAGAUAACAAGACUAGACAUUGUCGGCCAUUUCAAAAUAAAAACUGCUGGGAAAAGAUUGCCACUCUCUUAUGGCGUAUCACGUCACCCUCGCCCAUUAUAUUUAUGUGAACACGGUUUUAAUAUACUUCCUCUGUUCCAAAUUAUAAGUCAUUUUAGCUUUUUAAUUCAUAAAUUUUGCUAUUCACUUACAUAUAUAUUACAUCUAGAUGCACAGUUAAAUGUAGAACUUAGAGAACCUAAAACGAUUUAUAAUUUGGGAUGGAAGGAGUAGCUAGAAGUGCAACAUUAUUGCUCUCGGGUACUGCAUGCACGUCCAUGCACUGUUCGUGUUGGUCCCAAGAACACAACCCGUAAGGAUAAGCCACGAACAUUGUCUGCUAGCACUGGCAUACGCGGAAAGGCAAAUGUGCAUGCCUUGUGGCCUGCUGGACUGGACCACACAAUAGCUACUCACACAGACACACACUGCAUGGUCCUUACUGGAUAACGUCUGCUUGCGAGACCCUGAAGCCUCAGGCUGCUUCAAGUGCAAUGUGUGAUCCAUACCUGGUUAGAGGAGACAUGGCCAUAAAAAGAAUGCGUGCAUGCAUCGAAGUCACGAGCCAAGUCGAUCGAGAUCCACUGCAGAAAACAUUUAAUUUAUUCCUUUUGUCAUGUCUGGAUGUCUGCUAGUUAGCUAGGUCCUCACUACUCUCCAGCUUCACAUGGUGUAGGAGCUAGCAGCUGCUGGGGUUUUCCAAAGCAACUUUCAUGCAACCGCACUCAAGUUCUUUCUUUAUGGUUUUUGAGAAAUUUCAUUUUUGAAAUUCGAAACUUGAGACGUUCAGGGCGAAUCUAGUACCAUGCGAGCACGCACUAGGAGUUUAAUUUGACCUGAGUCUCACAAAUCGAGUCGGAUAUACAUGAAACCAGACAACAUAUAUAUAUUUAUUUAUCUAUAUUUGUAUCUAUACCUAUCGACAUGACAUGGUAUCUAUCCAUCCAUCCCUCGCGUGCUUAUUCUGUCGCUUUACUGGUUUCGGUUGAUGUGGCCGGCCUCCGGAGAAAGCUAAGAGGAGCGCGGUAACCAGCUAAAAAAAUUUCUAUCUACACCUCGAGAUAUUUUCUUCCGGCAUGAUGCCGCCUUCGUUCCGUCGUCUACUUCACCCCCAACUCCCAACUUUAAUACUAUGCAAAAAGAAAAUUUUCCAUCACAUCAAACUUGCGGUACAUGCAUGGAGUACUAAAUGUAGAUGAAAUUAAAAAAUAAUUGCACAGUUUUGUUGUACUUUGCGAGACGAAUCUUUUGAGCCUAAUUAGUCAAUGUUUGGACAAUAAUUCACAAAUACAAACGAAACGCUACAGUGUGCGCCAGCACAGUAAUUUGGCACCUCCCAAUUUGACCAACUAAAGGUAAAUAAAAGUUCGGUGGCGCUUGGUGACUGGCAGCUAGCUAACUUGCUGCGAGUCUGUCUGGUGCGUGAGGUGUCGACUGCGACCCGACGAGAAGGGACUGACCGAGCGACCAAGGCAGCAGAUCCAGUACGGAUUAUGAGCAUGACGCGCGAUCGCACAGGCAAGAACUUUUGCUUAAUUAUCUUUGCCGCAAUUAAUGGGCGCCGACCGGCCGGCAUUUGUACGUCACACUGGCUUGCGUCACCGGCGCUACGCAAGCCGAGCGCCGAGCGUGUUACACAGGGAUAUAUCAUGUCCUUUCCUAUCUCUACUUCAAUUUAUAAAAUAGUAUUUGUAAUUUUUUGUAGGACUAGUGAAGAUUUAACCUACACCACUGAUACAUCUAGGGUGAUAUAUAUGCCACACAAGGGUGUGCAUUCCAUAUUCAAUAAAACGGCUUGUAAACAUUUUUAUAAAUUUUACUAUAACGGUAUUUCACUGUCAAACUCAACUUAAUUAGAGAGCUCUACAAAAAAAAAUUGAGAGGAAAUGGAGCUAUUUUCAGAGGCAGCUCCUUGCCAAAUGUGAACCAAAUCUAGACAUCAUUUUUCACAAGGUUGGAAAGAAAAGCUUAUGCUAUUGCCCGAUGUGAACCACCUCUAGGAUGGUAAGAAGGACCCGCAAUUUGGAAAUGUGUAUUUCGCACGGAAAAAAAUGCAUGAGUUGUGUCUUUGUGCGCAUGGACAGCUCAACGGGUGUUAGGCUAUUUUCCAGUGGUGAGUUUCAUCUCGUAGUUUCCAAGAAUGAUAUGUCAUCAAAACACGUUUGAGUUGAUGAAUGAAACAAUACCCCUCAAUGGAGAGUUUCAAUUUACAAUUUCAUAGGCUGCCCAUACCAUUUAAUUGUGAGGCAUGUGAUUGUAUAUGGUCAAAUAAAAUGAAACUCUAUAACCCCUAAUGCAAGUUUCAAUAAGUUUCAUAGUCUUGAAAACAGUGCAUACACAGUUUCAUCCUAAUAAAACUCUUUCCCUCGCUCACUUCAUAAUUACUAUACCAUGUCAUCACAUAUGCUGAUGUGUCACCGUAUUUAAUAUGCAUGAAACCUCUAUGAAAUUUUCAUUGGGAUUAGCCUUAGGUAUCUUUUUUUUUGUGCCUAAAACGCGCGGUCCACUCAAGGGAUCACUUAUGGUGGUAACCUUUUUCCAUGGGAGGUAUUUGUUUUUGCGCAUGAACAACUUGACGAUUUCUACUUGAGUUCAAUCAUAGGGGGUGGCUAAACAGCUAUAUAAACAGGUUACUACUCACCUGCAAAAAUCAAUUUUGUAGUUUAUGAAUACAUGAUAAUAAGAGUAGAAAAGUAUGGUUCUUUAUGGUGAAACUUGCCUACCCAGGUUUGAGUCCUCAACUCGACAUGGGUGUUAGUAUUUUUCAGGAUUUAUUCCAAGAUUUAAACGGCACUACUCUUUCAUAGUAGAUGACAUGCCUGUCGACAGUGUUGCACCAGUGGUGACUUUAUCAAUCUCAAGUUUACCGGGCCAAUCUCUCGAUCAGGUGUGCUCAUAGAGGUAGGAUUGUGUGCAUGUAUUUAUAGGAGUGAGUGUGCAUGCAUGUUUGUGAGUGUCCGCAUCUGUGCUAUGUUUCAAAGAAAAAGUAGAAAAGUAUGUGAAAUAAUGGGUGGAUGGACUGAGAAUAUAAAAAAAUAGUGAAAAUGUAAAGUAGCAUGCAUGGGGCUUAUGGUCCACAUCUAUCCAUAGACAUAAAGUGUUCAAGAUUUACUCUAUUAUUGGUUUAUUACAUGAUGUAAAAAGAUAAAUGAAGAUAAUGACAUUCGAAAAGUAUUGGAUGCCCACGGGUAUAGUACGUGGCAAAUCCAGACUAACAAAUUACUAGUGACACCUUCAUCAUAAUACGGUCGGUAACUAGUGUCAUGUUUUCCCGACCGAAGGAAAACGAGUUUUGAAAGUUUUCGCCUAAAACAUACACACCUUACGUAUAUUGAUGGGAGCAUUAGCUAGGUCUAGCAUGUCAGCUUGCUUGCGGCUGGUGAACGUUCCCGAUCUGUGUACACACAUGCAGCAUUGCGAGCCGCACAUGCAUAACUCUCUUAAUAUGCAUAUCAUAUCCAAGGCUGAAGCAUGCAUGGAGCCCACAGCACACACAUACAUCUCCUUUACUCUAUGGCAGUAGCUCGCUGUACGCCGGCUAUAUAUGUGGCUCCACCGUUAGUUGAGCUAGCUUAGCUCGGCCACUUGUUCUUCUUCCUUCUUCUCCAACUUUCCUGGGAGCUGCGUCUACGUCCAUGUGUUCCGAUCCCAUAUGUUCAUACAUGUAUGUCGCAACUCAUGUGUUAAUUAUAUAUAUAUAUAUAUAUAUAUAUAUAUAUCCCUGGUCCAUUCUGAUGAACAACUAGCCUGCUUCUGCAUGCAUGUCCCUUCAGUUUGCUGGCCCUUAAUUUUCAGACCGGCCGGGUGGCCACUUUCGCCUCUCCUUAGUUCUUAUACAUCUCAGUCGUGCUGAUCUGGCACAGAUUUAAAGGGAGAAACUGAGAUUAUUGAGAGGGUUUGGGAAGGAGGGAUCUAUGGAGAUGGGCGCGAAGAAGAGCAGGAGCAGCGAUACUGCAACGGCAGGUAGAAGAAGCAGCACGAGCAACAGCAGCGGCGCUUCGGCGGUGGCGAGGAAGGAGAUCGAGAGGAGGAGGAGGCAGCACAUGAAGAGCCUCUGCGUCAAGCUCGCCUCCCUCAUCCCCAGAGAACACUUCCCCAGAGUAAGUGUGUGUGGCUGUGGUGACUUUGUUCUGACGCUGAAUUUUUCUAUUCAUCGGUGUUUUACUACGUUCAUAUUGAAGUGUAACGAGUAGUGUUGGUGGUUAUUACGACAAUUGUUGUUGUUACACAUCAGUCCUCCCUCUCGCCACAUGAAAUAUUAUUGUUGAAAGCUAUUGGCUUCUGAGCGGACAUUUUUGUAAUUUUCUUCGAGAAUAUUGCUGUCGUCAACAAGUCAACAACAAUGCUUCGCUCUUGGAACCGACAAAUUUGUUUUACAUACAUGCAUGUCAUGUUGCACUAGUUUUUUCUUUCUAUUAGGUUGAGAUUUUGGUCGGUAAAAAAAUCAAUUCAGAUAGAUAGAACUAAUAAUUGUGUGCAUGUAUAAUAUAAGUACAGGAUGCUAUGACCCAGGUGGGUAGCUUGAAUGAAGCAGCGGCGUACAUCAAGAAGCUCAAGGAAAGGGUAGACGAGCUGCAGCAGAAGAGGAGCUCUGCACAGCUCAUGGCCGCUGCCAUGAGAGGAGGAGGAGGAGGUAGCGCCGCCUCAACAUCGGCGGCGACGGUGAUGAGCGGCGGUGGCGGUGCGAGGUCGGAGGAAGCCGCCGAGGAGGCGCCAGUGGUGGAGGUUCUGCACCGCCAUGACGACGGGUCGAGCCUGGACGUGGUGCUCGUCAGCGGCGUGGAGCGGUCAUUCAAGCUGCACGAGGUGGUCACCGUGCUGGAGGAAGAAGGCGCCGAGAUCAUCAACGCUAACCUCUCCGUCGCCGACCGCAAAGUCUUCCACACCAUCCACUGCCGGGUACGCGACAAUUCUCUAAUGAGUAUUCAAUCUAUGCAUACUUUAAUUUGGUAUAUCAGAUAGGACAGAGGUCUCUCGACUCUUGCAGAUGCACAUCGUUGUGAUUAGUUUAUAGCUUCCAACGUAUAGUAGGUAAUCAACUUUUUCAGGAACAGUUAAUUAGUAGUGGACGCUUCCAGUUCCGGUGCCUGUUGGAAAGCCUAAAGGCGCCACUAGUAUAUUCAUAAAGUUUUCAGGCAACUACUCCUCCGUCGCUUCAGUUAAUGUGUCUUUUUGCUUCCAUCAGGAUAGUUGUAUGACAACAGUUACUAUAUUUUAUAAGGUUCAACAAUACUAAAUUCGCAUUAGUGCUUAAUAAUACUAUAAUAUGUAAAUAAUGUAUUGACAAAAUAAUUAUUCAAAGGUUUAUUUUAAUAAAACGAAAUAUGGAAGGAGCUGUAGUACAAUGAUCAUGCAGAGUAUUGGUGCUGCAAACAUUGCCCUAAAAAAGUUAACAUGAACCUGAGCCUUUGCAGAGGGUAUUUCCUCUAGGAAAGGGGGUAUCGGAAAACACAUGAGAUAGACCCGCCAAUUAUAUGUGCACCAUUCGUUGUUCUUGUCAUUACUAACGACAUCUUUUCCCUAGCAUUUUAGUAUUUUAGAGGUGACCACGAUUCUUCCAGAAGGCUUUACUUUUCUGAUCAGCUCAUUGCGAAAAUUUUGAUCCACACAUCCGUUCUUGCCAUUUCCUGCCUCUUCAAUUUUUUUUAGCGAAACACAUCAUAAGAUUUGAUAAAUAGGGAGCACCCAUGAUUUAAUUAAUUACUUUCUCUUUCUGUUGAUUUGUGCAUCCCUUUUUUUCUUCCAAAGAAUUUUUUUCUUUACUAAAAUUAUUCAAAAGUUGCCAGCCACCUGUAAAUCAAAAUAAAUGCAGUUUACAUAAGCACAUAAUAUUUGAUAAUAGGGUUUCUGAAGUGUCGAUAAAUAAUCACGCGUGUGCAAGAUGGAUGUUUUCUCCUUUUUGCAGUAAGUAAAAACUGUGGUGCUAUAUCUGCUGCUAGAAGCUUGCAUGCAUGCCUGCCGUCUGAUAUACAUUUAUAACUCACUUCAUCCUUCAUUUGUGUAACUGCAUGCAGGCCUUUAGCCCAAGAAUCGGCAUAGAGGUUUCAAGAGUUUCUGAAAGACUAAGAGCAUUGAUAUGAUAUGGAUUACAUAUUGCAAAAGUAGAAAACCAACGGAGCUCUGUAUCUAUUACCGAACAUUUUUCCAUAUCUACUUCCUACAUCCCAAAUUGUAAGUCAUUUCAAGAAUCUUGGAGAGUCAAAGUUUGACCAAAUUUAUAUGAUAACAUAAUAAUAUUUAUGAUGUCAACUAAGUAUCAUUAGAUUCUUCAUCAAUUAUAUUUUUAUAGUAUACCUAUUUGAUGUCAUAAAUCUUUAUAAUUUUCUCUAUAAUUUUGAUCAGACUUGAGAUGCUUUGACUCUCCAAGAUUCUUGGAACGACUUAUAAUUUGGAAUGGAGGGAGUAUGUCCCAACACGAUGUACAAAAAUAAAUAUUGUCUAAUAGUUCACCAGGCAAUUUUCAAAAGUUUGUUGGUUGUUUUAGCCACAAAAAAUUACAAGCUUGUUUGCUCCAGUUUUCUAGUAAACGAAUAUUUCGAUUGUGAAAGGAAAAGGAAAUACUUACUUGAUUUUUUAAAAGAAAGAGGAGAAAAAACAAACGCAGCCGUCGGUUCAAUCAUGACCAACUGAAAAGAUCUGCGACUUGUGUCCUACAUACGCUUCCAUAAUUAUUUCUUAUUUUUUUGUGAAGAUUUUUUUCUUAUAUUUGGUUCCAUCACCCAUGCAUGUAAUUUAAUUUCGUCGACAGUUUACCUAUAUUUUGUCCAUUUUAACUGGAUUCUUGAAAUGUGUUACCAGACAUCAGUGCAAUAAUACUCUGGUCAAGGAGCUAUUAGCUGAGUACUUCAUUUCAGCUGAGUAAAUUAGGGUCGGGUGAGGCACGGUACUUGCGCCUAGCGAUAUGCAUGGCUCACCCUUCAAAUGAUAGAGCUUGGCUUUUACAGUCUGGCAGCGCACUCUCGUUUGCCUCUAAAGUGACAGUGACAGUACUCAGCCAACGAGAUGAUUCAUGGCGCGCCACCUGGCCUGUAGGAUCAGAUCUCCUAACAGCGACCGCGUGCUUUACUAAACUUUUGAAUUUUUGUUUGGUGUCUCGUCACGUCGUCACUUGUCACGCACGAUCCGGUCCUGUGUGCACGUCCUCACAAGUCACAACAGCCUCGUCAUCACCUGCUGCGUGCAUGCAAAUCCUCAUCCAUUCCUCGCUAAUCCCUCCCCCGGUCUCAUUUUAAUUUGCUCACACGCGUGACGCAUUAGUGUAAAGUUUGUCGGAAUUCUAGCAUGCCUACUACAGUACUGAUUAAAGGUCCAACGACGUGACCAAUUAGUUCUGACGACUUCUGAGAAAAUAAAAAUGAUGAUGUGCCAGUAGGCAGUAGCUGCGCGGAGUCACUAACUUGAUGCUUCUCUUCCCCUCCUUGUACUGUACCUUUCAACACAUGUGCGGUUUAUUUUAGUCAACUUUGGGCAGCUAGCAGGCACGGCGUCUUGCCAUCGCGGGUUAGGGGCUUAGAGCUGUUCAAAGCCGCGUAAACGGUUGCGAAACACCAAUAAUACUCCCUCUAUCUCAAAAUAAAUAUUAAAUUUUAGAAAUAUUAGAUCAUUAUGAGUGCACAGUUUCAUUGUGUUGUUACCUAAACUGCUUUGUUGGUAACUGAGCCUACUUGAGCUGCAUUUGGCAGAGCUCACGGAGCAGCUUCUAGCCUGAAUUCAAGAGGAGCUCCGCCAAACAGUUUUCCAGGUAGAAGUGAUUCCAUGCUGAUUCUAUGAAGUAAUUCUCUAAAAUGAACUAAGGGGCCUUGAGCUUACUAGUUUCUCCUGAUUCACUUCCCACACAGAAAUCCUUUAGUCAUAAAUUCUAUAAAAAAGAAUCACUUCCAGCCAUAGAAUCACUUCUCAGCCCACAUAGAAAAUCAGAAUCAGGUGGAGCCCUACCAAACAGGGCCUGGUGUCAUGGGGAUGAAACUGCCCUAUCAUAUUUUCUCACAAUAAUCUUACCAAAUCUACAAAAUUAUUGAUAUAGCAUAUAAUUUAAUACCCAUAAAAUUUUUUAUAUGAAACUCCAUUGAGACUGUCCUUAGUAGUUAUAAAAAUGACUAUGUUGCCACUAAUUACUAAUGUAGUUGUGAUCGAAAGCCACGCAAUCUGUUUGGUUCUCUAGAUUCAGAAUAUAUAUGCAUGCAUAGGAAUUAGAAAAAUAGUAUCGAUUGAUUGGCUCCAUACACAUAUCCAUACGUUCAUCUGUUACUGAUUGAAUGUUUUUUUAUUUAGAUGAGUGUCACUAUAACCUAAUUUUGCUUCUUUUGGGACAAAAUUUGAAUGCUAAAAAAAUACUUAUUUGGGGAUGGAGUGAGUAUGUAUUCAUGUAUGAAAAAUGUCUCCAGUUGUGAAAAGAGGCACCAUCUCGUUAACGAUGACGUGAUUCUCAUUGAAUUAAUUGUUCUAGGUUAGCCUGAAUUUAGUUGUCGGGCCAUCUUAUCAGCAUUUAAGAAAUAGAAUAAGCUAAUUGAUUUUGAGAUUGACAAAGUCACUGUAGACACCUAAGUCAAAUCGUCUACUAUAUUAAAAUUAAUUAUUAAAAUAAAUUAAAAAAAUGAUCAAAUACCUAUACUAACUUAAGAACCUCAAACUUGGUGGAUAGAUUCCACCACAAGAAACCAAACCUACCUGCGCAAUGCUCAAUUCGCGACCAUCUGAUCAGGGAUCAGCUAUUAUCAUUGUGUUUGGGUGUGUCCCCGAAGUAACUAAAUUAUACUCUGACCGGCAUUGUCCGAGUGUACGUGUGUGUCUCAGUGUGUGCCCCGUCCCACUUCUUUGAAAAAAAGAAAAAGAAAAGAUUUUAUUAGUUAGUUAUGAUGACUUUAUUAGAAACAAAUAUGUUUAACAAAAAUCUGAACCUUUACCUAAAGCUACUAUCUUCUUCCUUCAAUUCAUGUCUGGUCGAGAGAGAGUUCGUGAGCAAGACCUUAUUUUCUAAUCUCUGGGGCACCAAGAGGAUUGAGCUUCCUCGGUUCCUCUCUGCUUCUGAGACUGUAUGAGCUACAAGAGUACAAGAGUAGCACGUAAAACGUGCUCAACAGGUAUCGCUGUUGGGCCCACCUAUGCAUUUUCAUUUUGGUCCCCCAGCAGCAACUGUAUGAGCUACAAGAGUACAAGAGUAGCACGUAAAACGUGCUCGACAUGUAUCGCUGUUGGGCCCACCUAUGCAUUUUCAUUUUUUUUUCCCCAGCAGCAACCAGCCAGCAUGGUUCCUGGGCCGAGAAGAUAGACGGCCCUCAUCCAUAGCAUUGUUUUUCACAAAAAAAAAAAAAAACAACCCACCAGCAUUGUUGGUACUGGCUGGAUGGGCUAAUCCCUACCAAUCGCUAUCUGCCGUAUCUUUACACUUAUUUAUUUUAUUGAAUUAUUAGUACCUACAUAAUGCAUCUUUACCCGUUCUCAAUUAUAUAACCCAGUACCGUAAAGUAAAACCUAUCCGGCUGCUCUCGUGCACCUGCAAGAUUUUCACAUAGUUUGUGUCGUUUUCACCGUGUCAUUGCACCACGGUUUUCUGGUGCAAGGAGGGGGGUUUUUUUUUUCCCUCUGACCAGGUGUCCAUGCCAAGGACUGAAGGAGGUAUGAAUCGCCGGACAAAACAUACAGAUAAAAUAAUAGCCGCUUAGAUUUAAUUUAUGUCACGUGCAUGGGAAGAGAGGCACCCUCAACUCGAUCGGUCUUGGCCUGAUGCCUGAAUGCGUCACUUUUAUCAUGUUCCAUUGAUGUUGUUGGGAAUAUAUAUAUAUAUAUAUAUAUAUAUAUAUAUAUAUAUAUAUAUAUAUAUAUAUAUAUAUAUAAGAGCAUGUGCUGCUGCUAGUGGACUGAAGAUAAUCCGAGGGUCGGGCUCAGCUCUGAACUCAUGGCUCCGUACCUAUACAAGACGAACCUAUGCAAAUAUCUAAAUUGCGCUGGGACGCACGGAGCUAAAUAUUUAAACUUGUUUCAUAUAUAUACACGGAGUAUGUUUAAAAGGCUUUGACCUGGCCGUCCCUGCUAGCUUGUCAACGGCGCCGGCUGUGUAAAAAUAAUCAGAUCUCUCGCUCAAACAAAGAGGCAACUGUGAACGCAGGAGGACGCGGAUUUGAGCCUCGACUGACGUCGAUCGAUGACCGAUGCACGCUAUACCUGUGGAAUAGCAUGCACGACAUGUCGCCCAUGCCACCGUCGUACUCUCUCCGUUCCAAAUUAUAAAUUAUUUUAAUUUCUUUAGUUAUAGGUUAUUUUAAUUUCUUUAGUUCCAUAACAAAUUAAAAAAAAUUAAAAUAAUCUAUAAUUUGAAAUGGACAGAGUGUAAUCUAACUUAUUUAAUGUCAAACCUAGUUUAACUUGUUUUAAUUUUCGACUAUAUAUUGACCAAACUACCCAUCUAAUUUCGUACUAUGUCGUAAUAAUGUUGUUUGGAGUAGUAGUUUGUAGCCGGAGCAAUCCAUCCGAGUGCUAUGUCGUAGUCUGACUUCUGUAUUCCACUUGUUAACUUGUCAGUUGUCGAUACUGGCUAACAUAACACCUGCACGCGGCGGCUCUUGUGCGCCUCCCAUUUCAUUUCAUAUACCAUGUGUCUUUUUCACCAUAAUUGAUUUGAAUUUAUAAAUAUUAUGCUAGUAGUACAAAAGAUAUACUCCGUAUCUUGCAUUUGUAGGCUGACCAGGUGUCCGUUUGCGUAACUCGCAAUUUUGGUAGCUGAUGUUAAGGAGGUGUCAACAGCAAGCAAAAGCGUAUAUAUAAAUUAAUACGCCACGUAUGUUUGCGCCUUAUGCACGUGUCGACCCGGUGGCUUGCAUUGCAUUUUCUAGAUAAAACAAAUGUGUUUACUUGUCCGUUGCACCGAGCAGGCGCUUACAGAUAUGGUGCCAUGGAGCACAGCUACAAUAAUUCGGAUGUUUGAUGCUAAUUAGGAGUAUUAAAUAUAGAUUAAUUAUAAAACUAAUUGCACAGAUGGAGUCUAAUUCACAAGACGAAUCUAUUAAGCCUAAUUAGUCCAUAAUUUGACAAUGUGGUGCUACAGUAACCAUUUGCUAAUGAUGGAUUAAUUAGGCUUAAUAGAUUCGUCUCGCGAAUUAGCACAGGGGUUCUACAAUUAGUUUUAUAAUUAGCUCAUGUUUAGUCCUCCUAAUUAGCAUCCAAACAUCCGAUGUGACACUGCUAAAGUUUAGCACCUAGUAUUCAAACAUCCCCAUGGUCAGCUUUGAAAAAAUAUGGUUGUAGGGUGUGUCUGGCCACGCUAUGCAGGCCCGCGCCACAACCUGUGGCGGGCUUUCCAGGUGCCACAGCCUGCCGUAGCAAAUGCUAUUAAGGCCUGGUUUGGUUCGGUUGCUUCCGUCACAUCAAAUGUUUAGAUACUAAUUAGGAGUAUUAAACGUAGACUAUUUACAAAAUACAUUACAUAAGCGGAGGCUAAACGGCGAGACGAAUCUAUUAAGCCUAAUUAGUCCAUGAUUUGAUAAUAUGUUGCUACAGUAAACAUUUGCUAAUGAUGGAUUAAUUAGGCUUAAUAGGUUCGUCUCGCCGUUUAGCCUCCACUUAUGUAAUGGGUUUUGUAAAUAGCCUACGUUUAAUACUCCUAAUUAGUAUCUAAACAUUUGAUGUGACACUUGCUAAAAAUAAGCAAAGGGAACCAGACGCCCCCUAACUGUAGUACGACAUAUUGUGCUGUGGCACGGGUACCUAGGUGUGGCGUGCUGUGGAUGGCAACAAGCAGCCUAUAGUCUGAACAGUCUCAAAGUAUAAUAGGUGCCUACCUAAACUGUAAGUUGACAUAUUUUCCUUCUAUUCUAAAUUGUAGGUCGUUUUAGCAAUUUCUAUGUGCAUAUAUAUCUAUAGAAAAACUAAAACGAUCGACAACGGAGUGAGUACAUAAGGAACAGAUAUCUACGGCAUGAGCAGACACGCGUGCUGAGUUGUCUCGUGGAUCCUAGCUUGUCAUCAAUCCAUUACUUUGUUUUCUUUAUUCACUGAUACAUUCUUUAUUUCCUCUAGAUAUAUGACGUUUAAGACAACCUAUUGUUAAACUAAUUUGUCUGUUCUAAACACAUCCUGCCUCAGGCGCACUUGGAGCUAAUAUAUUUUAAAUUGUUGCGUAAGCUUGUCACGUGACAUAUGCACUUUUCUUCAAUAGUUUGUACGACUUGAUCCUACCGACUCUUGUUAUAUUGUUCACUCUGUCCUAAAUUACUAGGAAAAUUAUGUUAAAAAAGUUAAAACGAAUAGUGUAAAAAUUAUCGAUACCCUAGUAGGCCUGUCCCACCUGUGUGCCGGGAGAAUCAUCUCGCUCAAGAAAGGAAAACGGAGCAAAGUGUGAAUGCAAGAAAAACGCGUGACUAUUAAUUUGAGCUUCUACAACAAUCGAUCGUUGACGCUACAAAAUUGUCGUAUAGUAUUGCGCUUGCUUGCGUUAUUGUAUUCUCUCCUCCCUCUCCUUCCAUCCAAAGUCAAAAGCAUCCACGGCAUACCGUACUUGAUACUGGUGGGCCCCUCAGCAUAGCAGUGAUUGCUUUUUACACUGUUACUUGGAUCGUGACACGCGUCUACGCGGUUCGUCGGGCGUUGCAGACGCGCCUUUUGAUGAUGGACGAAUUCGAUCUGGCAGGAUACAUAAUGCCAAAAUAUUAGCCCUUUGCGUCUCUGACAACACGUACUGCAACUGCCCUUGGUGAUUAGCUACGUCACAUGAGCUGUAGUCCGUUUUUUCAAGUUCGUUUUGAAUUUAUUAGAUUAGUAAAUUUUAUUAUACAUUUAGAGGUACAUAUAUCUAGAUGCAUAAUAAUUUAGAAAAGUUAAAAUAAUUUAUAAUUUGAAAUGGAGUUAAUGUCAAGCAUGUACACGUGGCAGGCCACUGACGAGCUAAUUAGCUUUGUACCGAAUGAGAUACAAAUCUACAAUCCUACAAGGCUACAAGCAUAUAGCACGCUAGUACGCUACGACUUGGCUUGUUUUCUAGGCCACGAGAAGAUGCAAUCACAAGAAAUGAUACAUAACACAUGUCAAAUGAGCUAUGUAUGCAAAUCAUCACGCCCCUCCAAGUGAAAUAAACUAAAAAAAGAAAGAGGGUUUAAAGAAGAAUAUAUCCUCAAAGGUGGAGUUCUCACUGUCAUUUUGGAUUCCACUAGGAACACCAAUAAAAAGGGUCCAUCUUUUGAUUACUUCUAAAUUCCAGUAUAAUGUAUUUCACCAACUUGCUCCAUCGAACAUGAAUCUCUUUGUCAACUAGCUUAUCCAGCUAUUGUUAUUAUCCCAGACUCAGAGAUGGCGCUGAGAAGACAAAAGCAACAUGAUAAUGGCGCAUUAAACAAGUACUAGUGGCACUAAUUCGCACGGGCGUUGAGUGUGACUGAUGUGACACGUACGGUAGGAAGCUCGAAAAGGAACAUGUAGGUAGGAUAGAGUAAUAAGCAGUGUAAAGAGUAGCAUCAAAAGAAAACCAACAGAACCAGCACGUUCAUUAUAAAAAAUAGUUUCAUAAUAUGCUCUUUCCAUUUAAUAUAUUAUUAUAUUUGUUUUGAAAAUAUUACAUAUACUUACUGAUACUGUUAGUCAGAGACCUUCUAGGUAAGUUAUAUUUUUCGACUAAAAGACUGUCGAGCUGAGUUGUUAAUUAGGAAGUAGCUAGACAUGUUUAGAUCAAUUAGAAUUAAAAUUAACUAGAUAGCUUUUUAAUCUUACUUUGAAGUGCAAUUAUAUUUUUACUCUCGUUCUUUUAACUUUGUGAUUUUGAUCUUAACUAUUCAGAAGUCAAUGCGAUUUUGUUCUUGAUCUUUGCGUAUUUGCCCAUGUUUUGUCUAUUGAUUAAGGGCAAAAUUGCAUUGGCUUGUGAAUAGUGAGGGCAAAUUCACUAAGUUGAAAAAAUAAGAAAAAAAUUACAAUUAUACUCCAAAGCAGGGGUAAGAACUGGGUGAGUGGAUUCCUAAUAUCCGCCGAUGGAUGAUUGUGGCUUCCAUAUUUUGAGCAAUCAACUACUCCCUCCGUUCCAAAUUAUAUGCCGUUUUGAUUGUCAUAGGUAUUAUUAUGCAUUUAAAUAUUCACUAUAUCUAGGCUUAUAAUAAUAUUUAUGAACUUAGAAAAGUCAAAACGAUCUACAGUUUGGAACGGAGGGAAUACUAGAUAAGAUAAGAUUGGGCGGUUAGCGUUCAUGGAAAUCCCAAUAUCACCCGUGUCCCGUCCUCGCUUGGCGCUGCAUAAACAUGACGAGCCAUGCAGAUUGACCGCCUGCUGAGACCUCUUAGGCUAGUCCCAGGGCAAGGUUUCAUUGCACUGUUUCCAAGGAUGCCACAUCAUCCCAUGAGGUGUAUUCUCAUGAAUGAAACAGGGAGUCCCAGUGCACAGUUUCAUUUCACGAUUUCAUAGGAUGCCCAUGAUAUUUAAUUGUGAGGCAUGUGAUUGGAUAUGGUUAGAUGAAAUGAAACUCUAUAGCCCCCAAUGCAAGUGUCAAUAGUUUUCAUAGUCUUGGAAACAGUGUAUACACAGUUUCAUCCUGAUGAAACUCCUUCCCUCUCUCACUUCAUAAUUAUCAUGCCAUGUCAUCACAUAUGUUGAUGUGUCACCGUAUUUAAUAUGCACGAAAUAUCUAUGAAACUCUUACUGGGAUUAGCCUUAAAAAAAUAAAAUAAAAAGCUGGUCAGCGCGUGAAAGCCCCGGAGCCGGUCUUCCCUGAAACCGCGGUUUCCACUGUGCGUCUGUGCGUAUCAUCGCUCUCAUCCAUCAAUCAAUGAUCCGAUUCCCCAACCUCCCCGGCGACAACUCCGCCGAGAUCCCAUCCAUUCCAUCUCCCAAAAAAAAAACAAAGCGAAUUUCCCCAGCCGCAUCGCGGAAAGCAACACGGGCACACGUAGCAGUGCCGCAACGUGCAGUAGCAACAGUGCUCCCCGCGGGCCCCACACGAUAACGCGCACCCGGGGACGCGACCGGCCCUUUCCUGCCGAGUUGACCGCCAAGCGCGCGCGCCCAUCCGCGCCGUAGGUGCGCCGGUGGGCGGCGCGGAUCGCCCUCUUCUCCUCGUCUCCUUCCUCCGUCCACCCCCAUCCAUCUCAUCUCUCAUCCGCCCGGCCCCGCCCCGCACCCCACGCCUCCCUCCUGUAUAAAUGAGCAGCCAAGCCACAGCUCUGGCCAAGACAACCAGCUCGGACUCCAUAGCUCAGUUUAUCAGACGCUGCGCAUCCUGUCUCGAGACUCGAGGCUGUGAGCCGGCCGGAGGAGCAGCGAACUGAGCUGAGGAGACACUGAACCCGUCGAGAUCGAGAUGAAGAGCCGGAGGCAGAGCAGCGGGGGCAGCUCGGCUGGCGCCACGGCCGCGGGGGAGGGGAACACGCACAGCAGCGGCGGCGGCGGGGGGUGCAAGCUGGAGAGGAAGGACGUGGAGAAGAACCGGCGGCUGCACAUGAAGGGCCUCUGCCUCAAGCUCUCCUCCCUCAUCCCGCCCGCCGCCAGGCACGCCUCCCUGCUCUCGGAGGCGGCCGCAUCGGCGUCCAAUCCCAACAAGGUAAAUUAACCCCCUCGCUCCUCCUCUUUAAUCCGAUACAGCAGAUUUAAUGAGUCAAUGGCGUCCUCGAUUCAUCCCGAAACACGACGUGUGCUGCGUCCGUGUCCAGAUUUAGAACUAGUUUGAUGUCCCAAAACGCAUUAUAUUAGCCAAAAAUGAAAAAAAAAUGGAGAAGAACAAGAAGCCAACUGAACAGUACUAAAUCUGUGUUAAAAAUAGUAACAAGGACAAACAAAAAUCACUGAAGCGUGGUGUACAUCAAUUGCUGACAGCUAACAGGGUUAGAGAACGAGUGCACAGUAAAACGUCCUCGUUCACCUCAAGUCCACUGGGUCAGUUAAAAUUCUCGUCAUGUCGCAUUCGGUGCCCCCCUGAAGACUGGAGCUUACCACGGGUUGUUUAAAUUCUCUUAAUAGCAAUCGGAUGCUUCAACUUUCAACUGCUAAUUAAGUCCAUCCGCUAUUACCUAUUUGUAUCAAUCUUCAUAGGUGGAAAAAAAAAAGAGACAAAGCCAUUCGUGUUUGUAACUGCAAAAGUAAGCCAAGAAUUGAUUUUUUUUUGGCGGAGAGUAGAAAACACUUAUUACAUCAAAUCAUAGCCUACGUGUGUAAAACAAAAAGGGUAUGAAAAGGGGCCGAUGCUCAUUGUUUGAGUACAGAUAAAGCAGCAGUGCUGGUUCAGUGAGUGAUCGCCACACCGAUUCGAUUUGAUUGGAUCUGAUUGGAUCAGUGGAGCUGUCCGCUCCUUUCUGUGAUUCCUGCCCCCUCCCGGACAGGCCCGGGCAUCGCAUCGAGCCAAAGCCCGAGCCACCGGGGCAGUCACGUUUUCUUCUGAAAAACGCACAGAAGAACGCUAGCCUAGCCCCACCCACGUCCAACGCUGAGCUCUCUGUUCGUUCACCCACGUGCCAAACUGCCAUGGAUUCAAUCCGAUCCAUUGGCGUCUCCUCCCCCUCCUCCUCGCUGUCGCCGCCACGAGGGGCGGGGCCCGCCCAUCGGUGGCCUGCCCGUGACAGCGACGCGGUUGCUCCGGGGUCACACGUCACGUCUCAGUGGUUUAUAGGCACGUGCUGGGUUCCGACGAACUCGUGGGCAAUACAAAGCUGCUAUCACCAGAUUCUUCGAUCGGAUAAUACCCCACUCCACUGAUUAUUGUAGUGAGUGCUACUACAUCACAAAUAAAACGGAUUCUUUUUUAACGAUCCUUCAGCCGGCAAAAGGGCUUGGGCUCAACCCCACCACAGAUCACUUUUGUCUGUGCCUCCUCCGUGCUCUGCUCUGUUCUGCUCUUCUCAACUCCCCAAUAAUUCAGAGUUUCCAAGCUCGCCAAGCCACCUACCCAUCAUGCGAUUGGGACGCUUUCUUAAUGAGUGCCAACGUGCCAUGUGCGCAAGGGAAAACUACAGUCGCCGUCGGAUGAGCUGUAGCUGGACGCUGACGCGGCGGCUGCUUCUAUAGUUUAGCACCCGCACCACAUGCUCCAUUGCUGGGGCAAAAAUGGAAACAGAAAAUUAGUGGAGUACAUCCGUUUACCGGCAGUUUUUUAAUUUUACCCGAUUUUCGCAAGGGUGAAUGGAUCGUUGUCACUGACGGUAAUGUAUGUUGGGUUUGUCGCAGGACACGGUGACGCAGCUGGAUCAGCUGGACAGCGCGGCGGCGUACAUCAAGCUGCUCAAGGAGCGGAUCGAGGCGCUGAAGCGUAGGAAGGAGGGCCGCGGCGGCGGCAAAGGGGGCGCCGGCGCUGCCGCCGCGCCUGUGGGGGGCGGUGCCGGCGGCGUGCGGAUGCCGGUGAUCGAGGUGCGGUACCAGGACGGGACGCUGGACGUGGUGCUCAUCAGCGAGGCCGAGCGGCCGUUCAAGCUGCACGAGGUGAUCACGGUGCUGGAGCAGGAGGGCGCCGAGGUCGUCAGCGCCAGCUUCUCCGUCGUCGGGGACAAAAUCUUCUACACCGUCCACUCGCAGGCGCUCAGUCCGCGGAUCGGGCUCGACGCCGCCAGGGUCUCCGAGAGGCUGCAGGACCUGCUGCUCCUCGUCUGAUGAUGAAUGACCUCAGGAUCAGCGACAGUACUAAGGAAGACUGUAUUAGAGUAGUAGGCGAGGUCAGGACGGACGGAGUGCGAGGUAGCAGAGGGAACCAUAAACCGGCUGAUCCAUGGAAAGGGAAGCUUGGUUUCUUUGCAGUUGUGCAUAUGUAGGAGCAAGCAAGCAGACUGCUUUUUGUUUUUUGGUUUUUUCAGCUCUUAGAAACGGCCGGUGCUCUACUACAGUGCAUGCAGCAUGCAUCUUGGCUCUGUUCUGGGGCUGUUUCAGGCUUUCAGCUUCCUGGACUACUGAUACUUACCAUGGAAUUGGAUGCCCUGCAUGUUGCAGCAUUUUCUGGAGCUAAUGUAAUGUAACACAAGCUUGAGCUCGUUUGGGCCCGUGACCGUGCUGCCGAACUAGACGAGUUCAGAUGUUUGAAAUCAUGAGUGCAUAUCAUGUGAGACGAUUCUGAUGAAGAAAUUGUGAGUGCAGAUCAUACAUUCCACGGAUCGGCGCUCGACCUCGUUCAUCGAAAAGGGGUUCCGUGCUGAUUAAUGUAAUAAGUCUGGAACCGUAGCAACGAGUCAGUGGGCCUGUUCGCUUCAGCUUAUUCAGCCGGCUUAUCAGCCACCAAACAGUGUUUUCCUCUCACAACAAAUCAGCCGUUUCAGCUUUUCAGCCGGCUUAUAAGCUGAAGCGAACAGGCCCAGUGACCCCUGCCUGUAUUUUGGGUCGGUAGCCGCCGUAGCUUCCUUUACCUGAUCGAGAGGGACAGGACAAAACUUUCAUGAUUGAGCUUACACACUUGUCUUUUCCUUGGGUAAUCAGCUGCCUAACCAUCAUCACAACGCGUGCAGUUGUUUCACGCUUUCACUUUCACUAACAUUUUCCAAAUUAAACGCAUAUUUUAUACUUUUUUAAAAAAGCUUCCAAGCAUUUUUUGUGUACCCACGUGCUGCUUAGUUCGUCGUCUUCACGCAGCGGUAGGUCGUCGCCUGGCCGGUGGACCUUUUUGCAGCCGCCGUGCACGAGCAGGAAACCGAGCUACCCGCCGUGUCCCAUCCCUAGUAUCUCUCUCUUCUCAGGCAGUCUUGUUUCUUGUGUAUAUAAGUUAAGUUAAUAACCACGUGCCUGAUGUGCUAAUCUAUUUUAUUUUAUUUAUUUUUGUGCCAAAGGCGCCUGAUGUGCUAAUAAUAAACAACAAUACCUGAUACAUAUAGUGUGAACUCUUGAAAACAAUAAUCGACUUUGCUACUUGCAUAACUUCGUUCGCUUUCUUUAGACGAAUUUUGUCAUGUUUGGGUGGAGCCACGGAGGGAGGCAGGGAGCGAUAGAGAUAGGGGAAUGGAGCAAAUGUUGUGAAGACCACGAGCACAGAAACGAACGAUGUGUUGACUUUCUGUCCUCCAAAUGUCUAUAGGCCGAGAUUGGGCUUACAAACUCCGAGCUCCAAAGGUUAAAUAAACUUAGGGUGUGUUUGGAAUGGAGGAUUUUCAUAGGAAAACAGAGGAAUGCAUUCCUUAGAAAAGUUUUGUCAUUUUGCUGUUUGGAAUGGAGGAAAGUUGGUUCACAUUCCAAAGGAAAGGCUCUUGUUCCUCCACAAAACGUAGGGAAAAAAGUAUCCACCAGAACCUAAAGGAAAAUUUCCUGUGAGUGAUUCGUUGUGCUGGCGCUGCCUGCAACUUGCUAGAAGCUGUCAUUGCUGCAUCCAACGCUUUCACAAUUGUGAUUAUCAAAAAAAAAAAAAUACUUCACGUACUAUUGUUGCCAAAGUCUUUGGCUUAAGGCUAGCAUUCUCUUGUCAUUGCUUCUAUGGUCAAGUGAAUAGCGUGUGCGAGCUGUAGAAACAGAAAAUGAUGGGGAUGGAGGAUUAAGAAAGAAACGAUAGGAAGAGAGGGAAAAAAGAGGAAGGAACUAGAAUCUCAAUCAACGUGGAAAUCUAGCUUAAUUAAAAUGGAUAUGGUGGGAUUUUGUUUCAUGAGCACUGAUAGGGUCUUAUUAUAUUUUCCUGCGAUCCAAAUAGCGUAAAGUUUCCAUUCCUAUGUUUUGACAUCCUGUAAUUUUUUAUUUUUCACCACAUCAUGUUCGUACAUUUUCUCCCAUUCCUCUAUUUUGCAUUCCUGCAUUCCAAACAGAUCCUUAUACGAACGUUGUUUGGCCCAACUAGAGGAAGAUGUAAGCAAGAGAAAAGGGGCCAAAAGCCCAUAUCCAAAAAAAAAUCUUGAGAGUAAAACGAAGUUGUUUGUGUAAGCUCGGCUCACACACCCAACUCAGCCCAACCCAGCCCACCCUUGCAAACAAGGGGUGUACUGACUGGAACGUGUAGCCCAGCAUGGAGGAGGAAAUGGUAAGCUGGUGACCAGCCAGACCAGCCAGACAGACAGACCGGGGCAGCGCGUAGUCACGCUCACGCUCAGGCCCAGUUGACGUGACUGGACGCGGCCCGCAAAUCAAAGCCUCGCUUCCUCGAAAAAAACAAAACAAAAAAACAAAGCCUCGCUGCAGAUUGCACUUUUUUUUUUGGAAAAAACCCAGUUUGCACUUCCAAUCUCCCAUUUCAGUAUCAUCAAAUUACACGCCAAGGCAAUUUUGGUACAUUUUGUUUGUCUCUAUGCGCUUUGAAUAGCGAAUGGGUUAUGACUCCUACCAAUAUGCAAAUUAUCGUUACACAUGGAUGAUCGGAUCCCAUAACUUCCAAUCAUGGAGCCAUGAUGUGUGAUGACAACAAACGCUCCAGCAUGGAGCCACAAUUGUUGAUGGGAAAAUAGAACUCACGUAAGCAAAUCUAUUACGAGUGCAUAGUAGGUGACUUAAGCCAUGUGAGCGUGGGUAAGGAAGAACUCGUUUGGUGAGGGAGAGUCAUACAAUGGGCCCGUUCGCUUCAACUUAUAAGCCGGCUGAAAAGCUGAAACAGCUGAUUUGUUGUGAGAGGAAAAUACUGUUUGGUGACUGAUAAGCCGACUGAAUAAGCUGAAGUGAACAGGUCCAAUAACGUUAUACUGUGCAUGGUAGCCAUCAAUGAUAGUAGCUCAUAUCCCCUUCAUAUAACACGUGUUGUCCCAUCUCUUUCACUAACAGUUGCUUUUGGCUAUCCGUUACAAUGUAAGGAGUCAAACAAGAACAACUUCUUGUUACUUGGUUUACGUUAUCAGAAUUUUGUAUUAUUUUUUCAUCACUUUAUCCAGUUGUUUUUUGAGGACACCUAUAUUUCUGUCCGACGUGGCUCCCUAUGAGAACUAAAACUGUCUGACGUGGCGUGGGUAGCUUCGUCAUUUCGCAAAAGCAAAAAUGCAACAGCAGGCAGCGGCGGGGCGGCGCCCCUACCCAACCCAGCCCCGUUUCUGGACCGCUCCUCCACUCAACCCCAGUCGACCGUUGGGCUCGCCAACGUUCCAAAUGUCACGUGAUCUCCCCCUUUCCCACCUCCUCUUCUCUCACCUCGCGCUCCUCCCCCCCUCCUCGUAGAUUACCGUUGGGGCGAGUGCGGCGCAACCAAACCCAGCUGCUAAACCCGCGACAGGACAAACAGCUCAAAGUUCAUCUCGCCCAGCUUGAUCGCACUUAACCCACCACUCGCUCGCGCCUGGGAUUUUCUUGGAGAUCGAUCGGUCGAUUGCUUGCCGUCAGCCACCGGGAGAGCGCUCCCUUCUUGUCUUUCCCACGCCCCAGGUAAGCUCAAUCUCUCCUCGCUGCUUUCGGAUCGCUUCUCAGUUCCGUCGGUCCGAUUCUUGGGGUUUGUCUUUCAUAAUUCCUUGCCUGGGUUCUUCUUGAUUCCAAAGAUUGAUUCUGUUCUGGCAGAUUUCCUUGAGUCGAAUUCUCGCGAUUCUAGUUCUUUCGGUGCAAAAUUGGCUCCGAUUCGAUCGGGCAGUUCCGUUUGAUCUACGAUACCUCAAAACUGAUUCUCUUGCUCUUGUUUGUGGCAAUGGGGAAAAAAUCCCCCUGUUCGAUUUCGCCAAGAACAGCGUUCGCGUGGGGAAUUCUUUUUGCAAUCAACUGAAACUAGAUGUGCUGUGAUUCUAAUUUCUCUCUCGAGUUCUGAAUAAUCGAUCUCCACCACCAGGUUGAGACUGCCGGCCGCGGAUCAAAAGUUCAAACAUGACGACGCUGUCUUCCGGCGUCCUCCUCAAGCUCCUGGACGGCAUGAAGACCGGCGCCGCCAAGCCCGUGGGCGAGCACCGGACGGCGGUGCUGCAGGUGACGGACAUCGUGCCGGCGGAGCUGGACGAGAAGGACCUGUUCCCCAAGCACGGCAAGUUCUACGUCAAGGUCUCCGACGCCUCGCACUCCAUCUACGCCACGCUCCCGCUGGCGCAGGCCGACCUCGUCCUCUCCAACAAGCUCCACCUCGGCCAGUUCGUCCACGUCGACCGCCUCGACCCGGCCUCCCCGGUCCCUGUCAUCGUCGGCGCCAAGCCGCUCCCGGGCCGCCACCCGCUCGUCGUCGGCACGCCCGACCCGGCCGCCAGGGCCAAAUCUGCCGCGCCGCGCAGGGGGUCCUGGGGCCCCGAGCAGAACGCCAGCAUCAAGCCCACCACGCUCAACUUCGACGCCGAAAAGACGCCGGUCAAGGAGCGCCCGGCCAUGUCGACGCCGGUCAGGGAGCGGGUGGGCGCGGCGACACCUGUGAGGGAGCGCGGGGUCGCGGCGACGCCUGUGAGGGAGCGGGGCGUCGCGGCGUCGCCGGCGCUGAGCUCUGCGUCGGUGAGGAAGAGCAGCAGCGUGCUGCCCAGACUGCUAACCAGGAGCAAGAGCUUCGUAGCAGACAGGGACCAGCAUCCCAGGAUCCCCAAGAGCCCGUUCCCCACUGUACGGUCAAUCUCAACUGAAAAUGUUGGGGGCAAAUUGCGCAUUUGAUUACUUUCAGACGUGAAAUUCAAUCUUGAUUUCUGAUAGUGAGCUGCAAUGCCGUGUAGGAGAAGAGCUCAGUGAGCUGUACAGCCUCGCGGGCGACGAGGAGAGUGGCGAAGGAGGAAGAGCCCUCCUCGCCUCCUUCAGAUGAUGAGCUCGGCAGCUCGGCGACGUCCUCCAAGAAGAGACCGUCAACGGUUGCUCGUGUGCCGGUGCCAGGGAAGCUCAGUUUACUUGGAAAGGUAUGAUCAGAUCGAGCAGCAACGUAGCACACCGUGGCCAUGGAAUCGAGUCAUGUUUGUCUUUGUCUGAACUGGUUUCUUUAUGCUGUGUUCAGGACGCCAUUGAGCAGAGGGAGCACGCGCAGAAGGCCGCUCUUGAGGCGCUGCGCAAUGCCUCUGCCACCGACAACGUGGUCAGGAUCUACAAGUACGUGUGAUUUCUCAUGGCGAUCAGAUAGUGAUUGCGUGUGUGCGAUGAAGUGCUGGAUGAAUGUGGUGACCAAAGCUUGAUCUGACGAUAUCCGUUGCUGUUGCUGAACAACAUUGCAGGAUCUUCUCUGAACUGAGCAAGACGGCGAGACCGGACACGCCGGGCUCCUGCUUCGACAGCUUUCUCAGCUUCCACCAGGAGGCCGUGCAGGCAGUCACCGACAUUGAGGCGAUCCAGGCGGCCACCUCGAUGGCCGCUGCCGUGGCGAGCGACGAGCAGCCCGAGGACGCGCCGCCGGUCCUGCAGGAGAUAGCCCAGAACAGGUCAGUCGUGCGGCGGAGAGGCAUCGGCGGUGGCGUGUCCAAGUCCGUGUCGUUCGCGCCCGGCACGUUGGAUCCGAGGCAGGACGACGGCGGCGGCAAGACCGUCCGGAGCUCGAGUGCCAGCAGAAAGUGCCUCGCCAUGGACAAGAUCGGCGAAGACGGUGGCGACGAGAAGAGAUCGUCCUCUUCUGCUCCUCCAUCUGCCACCGCCACUGCCACUGCCCACUCUGCUCUGGGCUCCUCGCUGAAGCUGGCGAAGCAGAUACUGGCCGAGGCGGGGAGCUGGUUCAUGGAGUUCUUGGAGGCCGCGCUGGAGACCGGGUUGAAGAAGAGCAAGGCAUCGGCCACGGGAGACGGGCGGAAGCAGAGCAGCUGCAGCUGCCCGCAGUCGCUGAUGCUGCGGGUGAUCAACUGGGUGGAGAUGGAGCAGAGCGGCGGCGACAGCAGCGGCAGGAAACCGGCACACCCGAGAGCUGCUGCCAUUGCACGGAAGCUCAGGAUAAAGGCGAAGAACCCUUGAUGCCCUGCUAGUUUAAUCAGUGUUGCUCUGAUUCUUCUAGAAACGGUAGUUUGUUGUGGUAGAAACCUGUAGACGGUGAACAUUUUUACGGAAUAAGAUUGUUUCAAGUGUUCUUGAAGUAGGAAUAGGAUGACCGACAACUGCCUGAUCAGCCGCAGAGCAGGUGCUGUACUGAAAUCACAGUAUUGAUUGUGUUAGUUAUUACUCAUUCUUAUCACUUCUUCUGAAAAAUUCAAAGUACCUUAAUAACUCUUUUUAAUUGGAUAGAUUACCGAGUAGAAUUAAUUAUGCAUGCACGUUUGCAGUAAUUAUCGUACCUAUUAGCAGUUUGGCUUGAGCAUCGAUGGUGGGAGUAAAUGAUCGAUUCGUUAACUAGGUCAGAAGGUAUUACGAGGAUUUUUAUUGCAUUGUUUGAAAAUUAUAUAGACAUGUGAUAAGUUUUGAAGGCUAAAUGAACAGUCUUUGUGGAUGGAGGGAGUAGUGCGGUUGCAAUUUAAAAGUAGGAUUGUGGGAGUGUCACGGUUAUUGUGCAAUCAACUUUGCUCUGGCCACAAAAUCCCAUGUCGAAAUUUUAAAGUCUGCUAAAUUAGAUUUUGAUUAAUCGCCUAGACUCACCCACACAUGUUUUCAACCUCAUCCAUUCCUAAUUUCCUAUCCAAAUCGACCAUCGCCUUCAUCUGUUCCGACCACUGGCACCACCAAUGCAGUAAUGCCUGGAACAACACUUGCAUUUGCGCUUAUUUCUCCUUGGUGCCGCUCUCCUUAGCACCCAUCUUCUUCAUUUCUCACGAGCGCUCUUAUCCCCACUUCUCUCUUCGGUGGCUGCCAUGGCUAAGUUAUUGUGUCCAAGUUAUCCUUUCCUUCCCUGCUCAAACAAAAAAAAAGAGGAAGAAUGGAAGAUGUUCCUCUUUGCAGUUCCUCAGGACUCAGGAGUUAUAGGUGGUGCCUCUCAAAGGGAAGGAGAAGGCGAUGGGUGCUUCCUUGAGUUGAGUUCACGAGAUAACCCGGGUGAGCUCACCAGACCAGACAAAGAAAUGUUUGGGAACACGAAACUAGGACCACCGCGGGGUUCGGUCCAGGGCGUCCAGCACGCAGCCGCCAGGUCAGCCAUCACACGCCACCUCAGCAAGCAUUUUACUGGCCAUAAUGCCGCCAGGUAAGCAGCAUACGUGGUACACCAGCUGUAUGAACGAUCUAGCAAUAUUUCGUUUUUAAGGAACCCUGGGCCCCACAAACACCAGUAUGGAGCGGAAUAUACUUUCCCCGAAUGUAGCGCUCCUCCCACGUCGCGGCUCGGUUCCCCCACUUUCCCCCCUCCACACAUGACACAUGCACCACCGGCAACUCCCAUCGCGUGUCUGACAUGUGGGCCGGAAGAACCUCGGACCCACAUGGCAUCCAUAUGCUAGAACAGGCGAGCCGCACGAUCGCCGAAGCUCUUUCGGCACGGCACGUUCCGGCGGCGUGUCUCUGGCUGGCACGCAAAAGGGGAGGGGAGGCGAGGCGAGAAGCGAAGCUAACGGAGGGACGGCUGGGCCCCACACGCAGCCGCGUAAUCAAAACAGAAAAUAAUCCUCCUCUAAUCAAGCUGCUGUAACCUCCACCAGGAUCGCUCUGAACUUCCUCUUCCAAUCCUGCCGGGGGAUCACGACGAGCGUGGAGUAACCACCCCGCAUUGGCCAAUUUUCCGUUUCCGUUAUUAAUCCGCAUCCAAAACCCCCCUCUCGCUGUGCCUUUGCUCCCUGCCUUACCCUUUUUCUCGUCCUCCCCGCCGCCUCGCCCGUUCCAGCUUUCCAUUGCCCCCAUCCCCGCCUCCAAAAAGCACAAGCCCGGAAGCCCCACCGCUCGCCCCGCCCGCAACGCGCCCCCACGCCGCACGAGCGCGCGCUCUCUCCGAACCUUCGGGAACACCGACGCGGCGGCGGCGGCGGCAUGGGAGAGUACUGCGCCUCACCGGAGGGGGACUCCGCGCUGGCGGCGGCGUCCCCGGCGGCCACCCUGACGUUCCACUCUCCGUCCCCCGCGGCGGCGGCGGCGGUGGCCAGGCCAGGGUACGGGAGUUGCGAUCGCCGGUACGUGAAGCAGGUGUUCGACAACCUCCACGGGAGCAUCUCGCUCGACCCGGUGCGCUCCGCUCCGCUGCCUCCUUCCUUCCUUCCCUGCCCCUCCUCUCUCCUAACUCAUUGCUCGUGGAUUGGUUGAUGAUCCUUGCUCCGCCCUCGCUGUUCGGGUGUGGAGGAAUCGUUGGGUGAUGCGUUCCUUGCUGCUAUUCGUCGGUUUGGCUUGCCGCUUGCGUUGCCCCCCCAAUCCGCAUUCCUUGUUGUUUGGUGGCCACGCGGUGCAGGAUUACGCGACGCCCUCUCGGUUUUCGUUAUGCGUCUAUUUUGUUUGAUUCUACGUUCUCUACUGCCUCUUUUUAGUCCAUCGUUGCCAUUAUUCUGGUCGUGUGAAAGCAAUUAGUAUUUGCCACCCUGGAAGGGUUUGCCCCGCACCUUCAGUUCGUCGUGCCAACUGCUCUGGUAGAUUAGUAGAUUCCCAUCUCAUGUGUUUCUAGUAGUUAAGCAUGUGCCGUAUUGUUUAGUUUUAGUAUUUGGGCCUGUUGAAGUGUUGCGCGUUGAUGUUGGUGUGGCGCAUGGACUCACAUUGCAUGAUUAACUGUGCAUGUGGCGUCAUGUUUUUUUUGUUUUCAAUUAAUAAAUUCAAUGGGGGUAACGUUUUAUGUCCAUGCUAAAACUGCACGCAACAUGCCUAUUUUAAUCUAGGAGUAACUGAAGAAUAAUACUACUCCACUAAUGCUACCUUGACAGCGACUGGUAUUAUUUUUGUUGACUUUUAUUGGGUCAUAAACAAGUCUCAGGUGGGGUAUGUGUAAUUAAAAAUUGAAACUGUAUCAGCAUUUCAAUUCUCUAUUUUUUGGGGGGGUAGACAGUUUCAUAUGUGUGAUUGACUCCACUGUGUUGGAACAUCAACUGCAGGUGUACAUGGCAAGUCUAUUCUGCCCCCUUUUUGAUUUGGUUGAUAUACACUUUACAUCAUUGCAUCUAUAUAUCUUACUCUCUUGAUUUCAGUGCUUUUGAUAGCCAUGGACCCAAUUCUUUUUCUAAAUAGCAUUACCACAUUAGCACCAGGCCCAUUUCCAGUGAUAAGUAAAAACUAUGAUGAUUCGUAUAUUCAUAUUUUAGGAAAUUUGGACCUUAGCAGACUUCACCAUUAGGAUCAAUGGGAAAUUUGUUUGUUCUAUUUCUGCAGUAGUCAUUUGGGCUGUUCAAAAACAGGUUGACACUAAUUGCACUAAAUGAGCAUGCAUGCUUUUGCAUCUGCUGAAGUUUGCAUUAAAGCAUUUGUCUGUAACCUGUUUGGCUUGGUUUUCAUAUCCCCAAUAGUCAUGCCUGGUACCUAUGUUUUCACAUUUCUGGCAAAUUAACCACUUUAAGGUUUAAUGCUUUGCAUUUGUAUUAAGGCUACAAUACAAUUUGGAUGUGCUGAAACUGAUGUCUGACAUAUAGUUCUCUCCUGAACUGGUUAUGGCGUUAUUCAAGUAAUUUCUGCUGCUCAAACAUCCCUUUAUAAAAUAAUAUAAUCGUUACAAUCUCUGCCUUACAGCUUGCUCUGCAGUUUGUGGACACUGAGGAAUUUCAGAGGUGGCUAUGGUUUUCCUUAAUUGCUUCUGCACAAUUAUCUAUUCAGCUUCUUUGAUUGCCUAUCAUGAUUUGAUUUUAAUGCAUUGUUCCAUUUAGGUUGCGGGACCUAAAACAACUUGGUGAGUUCAGUUUCUCUGUUCCUCCGUGAUAUCUUAGUAGUUAUACUUGACAGAAAUUAUGAAAAGACAAUGGAGUUCCGUUGCUUGUUAGUGAAUGUUAAUAUGUACAGAUUUAUGUUUAUCCCUUUCUGGCCCAUGUUGGCCUUAUGGCCCAUUCGGCCCAUACUUUGUAACCCUAGACUGGUUAUUCUUCCUUCUUCCUAACAGUGAAGAGAUAUUGGCAUUCAAGCAGAAAACACUGGUGGUUCAUAAUAUUUAGUGUCACUAAAUGAGCAUGCAUGCUUUUGUCAUUUGUAUUUGAUGUUUACAUAAGAUGCUUUCAAUAAUUUUCAGGUCUUACAUAUCUGGUCUAUCCUGGAGCUGUUCACACACGCUUUGAACAUUCACUAGGAGUUUAUUCGUUGGCUGGGAAGGCUAUGAAUAAUCUUAAAACGUAUCAGGUGUGUAUAGUAUCAAAUCUCAAUUCUUAAAUUGAUUGAAAUCCUGGAAUUUUAUAGCUGAAUAAUUAAGGGUAAUGUUUUCCUUCGACAGGGAGAAGAGCUUGGUAUUGAUCGCAUCGACAUGCAAACUGUGAAGCUUGCAGGUUGGUGCACUCAUCUGGGGCUCCAUUAACUAUUGAAUAUCUUUAUGAUCUUUGUCAUAAUCUUGUUCAGGCCUCUUGCAUGAUAUUGGACAUGGCCCCUUCAGUCAUUUGUUUGAGCAUGAGUUUCUUCCUCGUAUUAAUCCUGGCUCAACCUGGUGAUUCUCUUUCAGCCUUUGGCGCCUUUCAUAUAUGCUUUCAAUUAUUUUCAAAUUUCUACUUUUGCUAUCCUAUUUUUGUUAUGGUUAGAUACUUAGCUUCCAUGGCUCAAAAGACAGGGCCUAAGGUUACUCUACUGGCAUAGCUGUUUCAUGUGUAUGCAUGUAUAUGUUCUCUUCUCUGGUGAUCAUAGUUAUAGUGAAUUUUGUACUUUAAUUGCUACUCUUUAUGCCUUUUGACAUCCUGACAUUAAAGUCCCAUGCUCAUCGUUCAUUCUUAUUGAUUGAUGAUAUAGUGUGGUCAUUCCACCAUUUAUGAAGACACUCAUGUUGCUAUGUUAAAUCUACUUGGGAUUCUGGUUGGUCUCUUAUUUGCUUGUUUAUGCUCUUUCAGGUCUCACGAACGUAUGUCAGUACUGCUGUUGGACAGUAUUGUUGACAAACAUGCAAUAGAUAUUGAAGAUGAUUAUCUCAAAAUGGUCAAGGUAUAAACUUCAUUUUUAUUUCAGCCCUUGUGCGGCACACACUAAUUGUCACCAUCUAGCAAAUUAUCAUUUUUUUUCUUUAACUUAGGAUGUUAGAAGUCUUUCGACCUCUCAAUAUUGAUGAAUUCACUUUAACAUGUUAUGUGAUUUACCUGUUCUCUUUAUAUGUGGAGUAAGCAGGGGGUUACACAUGAAAAGAAAAUUAAAAAAAUCAGUGCAUACAACUCGUUUACUAAUCACAACACGCAUAUAGAAGUUACCAACCUGCGAUUUUAAUUUAAAAUGUUUUGCAGGAGAUGAUAGGUGCCAGCUCUAAGUCUGCCACCACAAAAGUAUGUAUCUUGUUCUCUGUUCCCAGCUUAAUUAUCUAUCUGUAUUGAAUAUGGAUUGCAUAAUUUAGAUGAAUUUGAAACCUAUUUCUUCAGAGUGCAAAGGAUAAGCAUUUUCUUUAUGACAUUGUUGCUAAUGGGCGCAAUGGUAUAGAUGUUGACAAGUAAGGGCCAACUUUCAAUUGAACUAAUGACAUUUCCUGCUAUAUGCCCAUAGUGGUUUCUGCUAUCAUCUGGUUAUGUUUUAAGAUAGUGUAACUGCGCAGGUUCGACUACAUUGACCGUGAUUGCAGAGCAUGUGGUCUUGGCUCUAAUUUCCAGUACUGGAGGUACAUUUCGUUUCUGUUGUUCUACCUGUGUUAAAUUCUUGUUUUCUGCUCUCCUUGUUGAGAAUAGGAAUCAAUAUAAUCAACCUUUGUACAAUAAUUUCAUCUCCAUACGCUCUAGGUGCUGUACGUUUCAAACAAGGUGCCCUUUUCCCCCUUCAAUUUUACAUGGUCCAGUUGCAGUAUUGGGGUUGCCCUAUGAAAAUUGCAGCAUUUACGUUUGAGCCAUUUCUUCUGGGUGAUUUUGUUGAUUAUAGAUUACAAAUGAUCAUUCAUAGAAUAAAAGACUGAUUAAAUGUGAAUGUAAAUAGCAGACAAACUGGAAACAUGUUAGAAAAUAGGUUUCCUUUUCCUGUUCUGUCAUGAUUCUUGCUGUGUCUGUUACCUUCGGUAUCCUACUGAGCCACACUAAGCGUAUGCCACUUUAUCUACACAGAGAAAGGAAUCUCGUUUCUCCAUUGGUAAUAUUAUAGCUGGUGUUAAUCAUACACUAGAAAUUUAGACAAGGCCUUGUAACUUUUAUGAUCAAGGACCCUUGUCUUGCAAGCAUUGUAUGAGACUUGGUUAAAUAAUUGCAGAAACUUACAGGUGUUAGAUAGUUGGCACGUCCUGUGUUUGUAGGAAAAGCUCAUAUUGAUCUUUUGUUUGCUGCUAGUACUGCAAGUCGUUAUUACAUCUUGUAAAUUUAUAUUGCCUUUUCCCUGCAGGUUGAUGGAGGGCAUGCGAGUGAUGGGUGAUGAAAUUUGCUAUCCUGCCAAAGAUUGUAGGUGCUUUAUAUAUAGUCCUCACCUGCUUAAAUUUUAUCUGUUCUAUUUUCCAUCACAUUAAGACAUCAUAACGUGACUUGUCAUGUCUUACUGGGAAUUAUAGACUUGAGCAUCCAUAAAUUGUUUUCAACACGUGCUGAUCUGCACCGGACUGUCUACACCCACCGCAAAGUAAAGGUAUCAUCCAUUGCCCUACUUUUGUUGUUUCGUCAUACCUUUGUUUUAGUUAUUACGUACAAAAAAGACAAAAAAGAAACACAUUUGCAUCAUCUAACAACACCAGCAAGGAAAAAAAACUAUGAAUAAGUCCAGCUUGGAGACAAUAUUUGUGUAGCUUUUAAAUCACUCAGGAUUCAGAUAUACUCCUGAUUGGAUUUCCUGUUAUCACUGGUAUACAAUUGAUUCAAAGAUUUUCUUUCAAUUCCUACAGUGAACAUCCAUAUAGUGUUAUAUCAUAAGGUGAUAGAUGAAGUCUAGUUGACUUUUUUUAGUUGGCCUAGCUUUAAGUAAAUGAGUCUCAUGUUUCCAAAAGUUAAAUUCGUCGUUUCAUAGAGAUUUUAAUUGUAGGUGCAUUUAAGUUAUACUUGUUAAUUUUUUUAUGCACCUGAGUUAUAUUCAUGGCCAACACUCUUGUAGUGUAGUGGUAACUAGUAAGCUCCCUAGAUCCAGGGUUCAAAUCAAGGUGGUACAGAAAAAAAAACUCUGCUAGCUGCAACCCAGAAAGUAGUGGCAGGGCACCGGCAGCCCGAGGCACCUGUGGUCACCAUCCUAGAAGGUCGUUGUUGACCCAGGUUACGGUGCGGCCCUAAAGGGUGAAGCCAGGUUUUAGGGGGUUUCUUGGCCCGUGUGGUUGAGGCUUCUUUUUAAUGAUAAGGCCUCAAGGUGGUUGUUCCCUGGGGUCGAGUUUUUCUUUCUUCCAGUCCUGUUAUGGUAUAUUCUGGUUCAUUCUCUAACAGUCCUCGAUCUUUAGGCUGUUGAACUCAUGCUUGUGGAUGCGCUCAUUGAGGCUAAUGAUUACUUGGGAAUAUCAUUGCAUGCAAAUGAUGCAGAAGAUUUUUGGAAGGUUUGGUGCCAGUCACUGUUAUUUUAUUGUGUUCAGAGUUAUUUUCCAGUCUAUCCAUCUUACUUCGCCUGAAAUUCCAGUUGGAUGACACAAUCAUUAAAAGCAUUGAAACUGCUCCCAAUGAUGAACUGAAGAAAGCAAAAGAAAUCAUUCAACGUAUUCGCCGAAGAGAGCUCUACAAGGUAUAGUAUGGUUUUUGUCAAUACACUGCUUCUAUAUAAGUGCUAUUUUGUCAUGUCACUUGUUACGUGCUUGGUGUAAGCAUUUGUGUUUUAGGAGAUUCUGUUUCUCUUACACAUGCAGUUGCGUCUAUGUCCAUGAAAUUAAUUUGAAUUAAUGAACUCUGCUCAAUCUUAUACAUUGAAAUCCUGCAAACUAUUAUAUCACAGCUUCCUUAGAGCAUUCUAUUUUGUAAAUAAUUGUGCUGGAACAAAUCAAAUUCUUUGCAAACGUAGAUGAAUCUAGUGAUGAACCUGUUUCAUCAGAUCAUAGCUGCAAUAAAGUAUACUCAAGAGGAAAGGUUGUUUUCAUCUUGGGAGAUCUGAAUGAUAAUGCCUACGUGAAAAAACAUAGAACUGAUGCAACAUGUUUAUGCAUCAUGUAGACUGUAGUAUAGCUAUUCUGCUCUUACUAAAUAGAUAUUGACAUUUUUGCUUGGGUGAGUUUGAAAACAACUUUUCUGUUGAAUAAUUGCACGGAUAGCAUCAGCUCUGUACUGAUGUACAUAAUACUUAAGCUUAUCUUCCUUUUUUGUAGAAGUUUUACGUUAUUCUAUUUUGUCGAGUUGCAGUUUUGCAAUGAGUAUUCUGUUCCAAAGGACAAGCUGGAGCAUUUCAAAAACGUAACUGCACAGGACAUAGUUUGUUCACAGGUUUGCAUCUACUUUUGCUCAUUUUUAAGCUGGCUGCAGUAACCUGACCUCUGAAGAAAUCUACUCUUCAUUUUUCUAAUGUUGACGCUACUGUCCUUAGAAGUCUUCUGAAGUGCUGCUGAAGGAAGAGGAUAUUGCUGUCAGUAAUGUUAAGAUUGAUCUUACUCGUGGAAAAGACAACCCUCUUGAAAGGUUUUGAUGUUUAAAUGCUACUUUAUUUUACUGAUUUGAUUUAAUAGGAUGUAUCAAAAUUCUAACCAAUUACUCUACUUGAUGUGCAUACAACCAUUCUCCAGCAUCAAGUUCUUUAAGGUAAAUAACUUGCUUUGGAUAAACUCUUCUUUGAUUGAUGGAGCUGUUAAUUCAGUAACUACUAUGUUCUUGCAAAAUCAUGAGCAUAUGUCACCAUCCAUCCUUUAUUAUUUGUGUUCUUGUAAAUCUCAUACUUGUGGGCCAUUGUUAUUGCUUGCAUGGCAUUUAAAAUAUCUGUUGUCCUAAAUGUCGUCUAUUUAAAAAUGGAUGGAGCACUAUUUUUGUAGCUGCUGACAGAAUAUAGUGUAUUAAGCCAUUGGGUAUUUAUACAUAUAUCAAGUUGUGAGCACCAUAUGUUUUUGGGUACCUUCUAUUACUAUGGUUGCGACCAUAUUUUCUGAAAAGGCUGGAGCAUAGCUCUUGAAUGUUGAAGCAUAGCUAUGCCUGUUUUCCGUGUUGUUUUUCUGAGCUACAUGAUUAAUAACUAUAGAUGACCCAUGAUAGAUGUCCUGUAGGAAUUCUCUGGAUUGAGAUAUCUCCUAGUUUCCCAUUUGGCCUGAGCAGAAUUUUUUGUUGUGCCAGGAUUUUGGAUGUGAUGAGAAGUUCACCAUCACAGAUGACCGGGUCAGCCACUUGCUACCUGCCUACAAUGAGGAUAGAAUCGUGAGGGUCUAUGCUAAGAAGCCGGAGCUGGUCAGUGAACAUUUCAUUCAUCUACUUGAUUCCCAUCAAUUACAACCAGUUUCGUAAUGUUGAUGAAAACCUUGGUUACAGGUGGAAGCAGUGUCAAAAGCCUUUGAGAACCUCCAAGUGAAGAUGUAUGGCGAGAAGACUCAAGUGCACGAUACACCCAAGAAGAAGAGGCUUAGAUCCAACUAGCCAGUUGGGUUUUGUCAAAUAUCAGUCUUUACAUAGUAUACGACACAGGAAAAUAGCUCUGACAAACGAGAAGAAAGCAACCUCUAUAGCUACAACAUCCCAGUAUUCACAGAUUUUAGGUGGUAGUCUGCACUGGGAAGGUGUGGAUAUUUUGUACAGCAGGCGACAUACAGACAGAACCUUGUCUGAAGUGUAAAAGCUCUCCUAAACUAUGCUACAUAGGCAUAGGAUGGAUAGCUAGCUGCCUAGCUCGAUACCGAAUGCUACGUGGUUAGUACUUGUACUUAAUACGCAUCAUCAACUAUUCAACUCUACGGAACUUUUUUUUUUUGAAAAAACAAUCAUGGUGAAGUGGUGAUGGCGAACCACCCCAUAGGCCAUAGGACGUUGCUCUGUUUGUGAUAGAAGUGCUGGCAGUGUGCUGCGAGAUGGGAAUUGCAAAAUGGAAAAUAAUAAAAAGAAAACACUCCUAUUGGGGAAACUAUUUGCAAAAUUAUGGAAAUAGGAGUCAGCUUAUACUAACAUUGUCCCUCGUGUACAGCUUAUACCUUAUACUAACACUAUCCCAAUAGGCCAAUACUAACUGUUACCGUCAUUCUCCAUUUUUUUUUUGCCUUUGGUUCAACACAAAAGCUUAAUCUUAUAAGAAAAAAUUGGACAGUUCACUUAUACUAACACUAUCUGUCAUAUGCAGGUUUCCUCAAGUCUCAAACAUGAAAAUAUGAGUGAGCGGCAAUUAUUUUAUCACGCCGACCAGUAUUCGACGUAUCAAUUCAAAGAUUCAAGGUGAAUUCACCCGUACUUCAACGAUGUCCGACAGCGGCGGCAUGACGUCUCUUGCUUUGAGCAGGUCGCAGCUAACGCGCGCCUGUUUUCCCUCUCCUGCCUGCCACCGGCUGCCUGCCUAUCGGGGAGCAGCAAUGCUAUGUUGUUUAUGUGUAUUCGAAACUUGAAAUGCGGUCUCAAAAGCACAUCCCCUUUGAUAUGUAUACUCAGGUUCAGGUCCAUAAGUCUAUGUGACUAUUGGUGUUUGUUCGUGGCCAAAAAUUGCCACACCACUGGGUCACAAAUUUUUAAGCUGUUAUAUUAAUAACAAGUGCCUUGUCAUAGUUUUAGCCCACUUUGCCAUAGGACUUUUCCUUUGCUAAACCAUGAAUAAGAAUUUAACUAAGAGGUGUUAGAAUUAGGCUAUCAUUCAAACACGCCUAGUUUCUCAUGCCGAGACAGCAGAUCAUCAGGCCACAGUAAAACCAAAUGGUGCCAAUCCCUUAACUUUCUUGGAUAAACCCAACCCAAACCAAACAUGUUUAAUCUCACGUAGGCUAAACUUUUUUUGAAAGGGGCACGUAGGCUAAACUGAGAUGCCAUGUAGGCUAAACUAAUGACAUGGCAAGAGCGAAGGGAUGCAUUUCAUCUAAAUGAAACCAGAUACACACAGUUGUCUAUGUCUAGAAACGAAAAGGAGCCCCACCUUGUUUCAUCCUAUGCCUUGAAAACAGAAAUGAAAUCCCGCUAUAACCAAUCGUUUUCACAAGAAAUUAAACCGUACAGCUGUGGAGAUAUUGUUUCUUUCAUCAUCAACCCAAACUUAUUUGAUGUGGCACUUUUAAAAACAACAAAACAAAACUUUCCAAUGACUCAUGUUAGUUGUGACCAAAGCGUGCUAUCUGUUCAGUUCUCUAUAUCAUACGCAUGUAGUAGAACCAUCAAUUAAUCAUUUAAUUGGUGCCUUAUACGGUGUACUUCUCCGCAUGGUUUUUUUAUAUGGACAUUACUUUAAUUGGAUGGACCUUAACUAAAUGAUCUAAAAGUUAAAAAUACACCAAAUUUAAAUGCUAGAAGGUUAUUUAUUUUGAGAUAGAGGGAAUAUUACUCAUUAGCAGUUAGCCUUCUCUCUCUUCAGCAUUCUCGGUCACAUAAAUACAAGUAAAGAGUCUGAUGCGAACAUAUAUAUAUUUAUAGCUAAUUAAGUUGUAUUGAUGGAGAAGAAAUAUUGUAGAUAGCUUGGGCAUUUAAAGGUGGCAAAUUAAGUUGUAUCGAUGGGAGAGGAAAUAUUGUGGAUCUUGGGCAAUUAAAAACGGGUAAAAGUACCAUUACAUGAAGGCUUCUUCUUUCUAUGGACGAGCAUGUCACGUAGACAAAUGCUGGGCACUACCUUCUCAUGGAUGUUGUGGCGGUCGCGCAAGAUCUAGAGAUGUAACUAGCUAGGUGGCACCACUCUAGGAUUUGACCUAAGGUUUAAAAGUGUUGUCUAAUAUUAAAAAGAUUGUAUAUCGACCAUCCUAUAUUUGACUUAUUAUAUCUAGAUGGAACGUUCUUGCUCUAAAUUCUAGCUAAUGAUGAGAUCUUGGAGCGUGGCGCAAUAAGAUAGAGUAAAGACUAAUAUUAUGUUUCUACAUGCUUAUAUUUAAUAGCUCAUCUUACUCACUGAUUUUCUACUUCAGUUGAGGAGAAGAUGCACCAUUAAGGCCACCAACAAUAUUCCACGUGCUCAAAAACAACCCAUAGUCUUUGACUACUAAGCAUGUGGAUGUCAUGUGCUAGUUUUGACUAGAAGAACUUUUGGAAUUACCACCAGCAUAAUGAUGAAAUGACCUCCAACCAAGAAAAAAAAAGGAAUAAAUUUCUCUCAAAGCUCCGUCAUAUCAGCAUACACCAUCAAACUAGUGACAUCAUUCUCUCAUAACUCCUGGUAAAUAACGAACCAGCUGAUAGCUCGGUGGUUGAAUUCGCUCGUCGCAGCGGUCGUGAGCCCGUGUUCGAGCCCAACUCGAAACUAGGGGUGUACCUUAUAAUUAAAAUCUGCACUACAGUUGUGUACCUAAGCGGAAAGUCAGAGACACCGAGAAUUUCAACCAAAGUAGAGGAGAAACAGCCCCCGCGUCCCAGUUUUGAUUCGAGGAGUCUUCCACGCCAGGUCGGGACGGCAGGAGGGGCUGCCAAGAGGAGACGCGCAGGGAGGAGCGUGUCCGCGGGCUGCACAACGCAGGGGAGCGGCGAGGUGGUGGGCGGUGCGGGCGCCGUCGGGGGUGACGAGCCAGCGCGCGACAGUGCCUGGCCUCCUCUCCGGCAAAGUGACGGGCGGCGCGGCGCUGCCGUGGUGGUGGGACCGGAGGGUGACUGCCUGGACGAAAGCCCUUGCCGGCCUUCGUGCCGAGGCACAUGACAACGGCGUCCUAUGUGGCAGCAGCUGGUGGCGGCAAUCCUGUCGUGUGGAAAGCUUGGCCUGCCGAGCUCACGUGGCGGCAAUCACGAUCAUGGUGGCGAUAAGGGGUUGUUGUACGGUGGUCGAUUGGCUACUUGUAGCGGAUCACAGCGGCUGAUGUUACUUGGUAAUGGUCAGUGCAACGUGGGACUGCGUCUUGGGACGGUGCUUGCGGCAACGACAUCGUGGGACGACUUGGCUUGUAGCGGAUCGCGGCGGGUUUCUCAGCUCGGCUGAGCCAUCCGGUGCAGUACAUCGUCGGAAGACGGCGCAAGCGUCAUACUUGGCGCGCUGAAGCGUCGGUGAAGCAACGAUGAGAGGCAGACCUGCGGCGGUGGCCCGGCUGUUCGAUGGAGAUCUGAGGAAGUAGGGCAACAUUGCUCACCACACUAACAACAACACAAGAAAUGGAUCCGUGACAUGGAGUUUCGGGACGGGCGAGGCGAGCACAAGAGCGAGAUGGAGUCCAACGGCGAAUGUAGCGAGGCCCCCACGCGUCGUGUACCGUGAUGUGGCUGCGAGGCAGCUUCUGAGAGGUCCGGAUCCGGAGAUAUCACUCUGUUAGGUGGAGUGUGGUGUCUGCAGCAGCACUUUGGCGGAGGACCCCGCAUGGCGGCGACCUCUUUGGUGGGGUGCAGUCUGCUCCCGUCAGGUUCCUGUCGACGCAGGGCCACUGAUGGAGGUUUUGACUUUACAUGUGGGUGAUUGUUGGUGGGUGCCACCGGAGAGUGGAGUGGGGAGGCCGCAUUUCAGUUGAGUGGUGACCUGCGUUGAUGUCCCAGUCCAAACGGGUGAGUUCUUUGUUGUUUUUUCUUUUCUUUUUCUAACUAUGACCUCCCAGGACUGCAAUCUUAUAAUUUUCUACAGUAUCAAUACAAUACGCAAUAUGCGUCGUUCUUUCAAACGAUUCAUAGACGCGGGAAAAAAAAACUCUCUGGGCAAGUAGUGAAAAUUUUGAUUUCCAAUGGAUAACGUUCUGAGACUGCAGCGCGAGUAACGGCGAAUGAUUCAGCGUAUCAACAAGUAAUGGCUUUUCAGCGAGUUCAGCGCGAAGAAAAACCCGGGAAGCGGAGAGAAGCUUUCGCAUGUCGCACGGCUGAUUCGCGGGGUCAUGCGGCAGAUGGAUAUUCUAGUUGGCGAUAUUUACCUGCACUUGCCACUUCUAUGAUCCCCUCGCCUCCUCCUCUGACCUCUCCCAUUCGGUCUCCCCUGCCCAACUGACUCCUCUCCCGCACCGCAGAAGAAAGCCCCAACCGCUAGGGUUUCGCGGAGCGGCCGCCGGCGGCCGGGGAUCCCGCCGGCUUCAUUUCCGUCCGCGCGGAUCUGAACUCGCUCCUGCCUCCUACCUUCCGACGGGAGCCGCCUCCUCGACAGUGCCGCGGCUCCCCCUCCCGCGCUUGCGCCAGCUCGUCCCCGCCCGGCGACGCCGCGCCUCGGAGGCUCGGACCUCCUGGGCUCUGUGGCCUCGACCCGUCGCCGUGGCACCUCGUCCCACCAAGCUCCUACGUUCCCCUGGUGCCCGGCGCCGCUCCAUCCCCAGCAGAACCUGGACGCCCCCCUGCUCAAGGUAGAAACGAGUUGCCCUCUGCUUGUUUGUGCAAUUAACAGAUUUCUACGUGCGCGCGUAUGUGCCUGUCAGCCUGUAUGCAAUGUUUAGGGCUCUGCGUGCAUAGCUAACGUUUGUCGGUCAGUUUGGAGGAGCAAUGUUUGGGAUUUUGGCGGUGGGUAAUCUUGUUUGCAUGUGAGUUUUUUUGGGGUCAGCUUUAGUCACUACUGUCCGUUCUUUCGGUUAUCGAUCGAAGGUGUUUGGAUAAGGGAACAGGUGGCGUUCCUGGACCUUGAUUUCAUUUUGCUCCAUGGUGCUGCCAAUUACUAGCCAUGAGCUCCGAUUGACAAAGCUCUGAGAUUUGUGCUCGUCUCCUUCUGGAGACAUGUGUCUCUUCUCGAUGGACAUGAAAGGGUGCCUGUGCUUCUUGGAUCAUAGACAUCGGAGUGUGCAUGUGUAGUUUGGCUGCAUAGUUGUGUUUGUGUGGGUCGGCGGAUGAUUGCAACAAUGUGCAUGUGUAUUUGAUGACCGAGGAGUGCCUUUUCUACUCUUGUAUAUGCUUUGCCUUUGAUGCAGACCAAAAUCGGUCUUUCUGGUCAAUACCUAUACCGUCCUUUUGAUAUGUCAAACGAGGAGGGGAAGACCAUGUGCUUAUUUUUUCUCUUCUCUUGCCAACAUCACCCUAGACACAGAUACAUAAAUAAAAGGAAAGUUGCCAUGCUUCAUAUCUUUCUUUUCAAGGGCAAAUAACACACAAAAGGGCAAAUAUUUUGCAUCUUUUCAAGGUCAAUUUUCAGUUAUGGGUCAGGUGUCUACACUGCACCAUGAUAUCUGAAGUUGUUUUGUAUUUUUUAUUUAUAGAGAAACUAUGUUAUGGUUCAUGGAGUGAUAUUUGAACAAACAUUGACAAGGUAUUUUUAUGCAGGCAAGCUUGUGUUGUCUGCAUGGAGUGACGAACUAAUGAUUAUAUGUGGUAACAAGUAAGUUUUCCUCUUGGCAUUUUACAACCGUAGUAGACUUGCACUUGCUCUCUGUUCUCUUAUAACCUAUAUCAUCCUGGCUAAAUUUAAAAAAUAUAUAUGUAUACACAUGGAUCUGCUUAUUUGGUGUUGCUGCAUGUAUCCCUGCCACCCUCCAACUUCAUGCUGGAUGACAAGAGUGCCUGUGGGCAGGGAUGACACCAUGCUGGAAUAUUUGCCACCACCUAGGCUCAUAAUCACCAUAUAUUCCUGUGAAAAGUUCGUUGAGUGAUGCACCAUGGUCAGUUUAGCACUAGCUUCGCUUCUUGUGGGCGACUAGAACAGGGUAUUGUUGUAUGGGAUCUCGUGUUUGAACUGUGGAUGUGUAUCGGUAGGUGUCAUCACUUGUAAUGCUGAUAAUACUUUAAUGUGUAAGUUUCUUAUUUAAUAAGCAUAAAACGAGUACUCGGCAGGAAGUGAUAAAUUUCAUCUUUUUAUGGCAAAUAAAAUGCCUUCUCGAUCAUGGUCCCCAGCAGCAACUCCCUGGCAUAAAAAAGAAUACGAUCGGAAAUUCAAUUCUUUCUAUUCAUUAUGUAGGAAAAUCAAUAUUUCACUCAGACCUAUUAUGUUUUUAUGGUCUGGAAGUCAAGCGUUUGUUUGUCAAACUACUCAAAAACGUUAUGGCAAACCUUGUUGGCUGAUUCUUUACUUUGCACUUUCCGUAAAAUAUUGCAAGAUAUUCUUGUCAAUUGUCAUUGUGCUUUCCCAUAUGCUUAUGUGAUACUUAAAUCUGUAGGUGAUUUCUUUUAUGUGUGAUGCUGUGGGUCAGAUAACAAUAGAUUCUCCUGAACCUUUGCUAAAUGCACUUGUUGAAACUGAAGUUACCGCUGAUGAACAGAUGCUGCAUGUGCACUUUUAGUGUGCAGCAAAGAAAAAAUGGAGUGUGUUAAGUACUGAAUAUAUAAUGCUUUUCUCCUUAAUUCAUGGUAGAUCUCCUUUUUCAAUGGAUCACAAAUGUAAGUUUGCUGAUUUUGAAUCAAGUGAGCACUAAUGACAUCUUGUACUUCCUUCUUACAGUUUAGAAUCAAACUUGUUGAUGUGUCCAUUCUAUUUAAUUUUUUGGUGGCGUGUCACAAUGGUUAUAGAUAUAAUAGAGUAAAGAUAUCCCUCCUUUUUGUUUCCAGGGAGUUUAAAUUGACCUCUUGGUAGAAGUUAUGCUGUCAUGUUUUAUUAACUACAUUAUUUAUUUGUUUAUUUUGUUGCAGAAAUAACCAUGGGCAGUCGAGAUUUCUGCAAACCGCACUCCACAUUUUGUUCUUAGAGAACUACUGCAGUGGUUACUGAUAUACUGUGCGCUAGCCACUCCAUAAUUUAAAUUUCUGGCACAGGACCAACUUCUCUUGUUGCAUGGAGUGCAACAAAGAUGAAGCUGCGAGAGCAAAAGCUCUGGCAGAAAGAAAAAUGCUGGAAAAGGAUUUUGUUGCCGCAAAAAGGUUUAUUAGCAAGGCGCAGAAACUUUGCAAAGAAGUUGAUGACAUUGACAUUUCAAAAAUGUUAAGUGUCUGUGAUGUUCACUGUGCUGCUGCAGCAAAGGUAAAUGCUGAGAUUGACUGGUAUGGAAUACUGCAAGUACCUGUAGAUGCUGAUGAUGCCCUGAUAAAGAAACAAUAUCGUAAACUUGCCCUUUUGCUACAUCCUGACAAGAACAAGUUUGGAGGUGCAGAGGCAGCUUUCAAAUUAGUUGGAGAAGCAAACAUAACUCUAACAGACAAGUCAAAGCGUAUGGUGUAUGACAUGAAAAGAAGCACCUUCAGAGGCGGUCCAGCAAGACCCCCUCAUAUAAGAACUGCAGCUGCUAGACCUAGUUCUACUCCUGUGAAUCUCUAUAAUAUGCAUCAGCAGCAGCAGCAGCAGGCCUCAAAUCCUGCAGGGACACAAACAACAUUUUGGACUCUCUGUCCAUCUUGUGGCAUGAGAUAUCAGUACUACCGUUCAAUCUUGAAGAAGGCUUUGCGCUGUCAGAAUUGUUUGAAGCCAUUUGUUGCGCAUGAUUUGAAGGAGCAAGCUAUUCCUUCCGGGGCAAAUCAGCGAUCUGCUGGGGUUUGGAAAAAUGCAGGUGCACCACAGAACUUUCCAGGUCCUCAAACAAAUGUCACUGGUCAGAAAGCUUGGUCAACCACUUCAGGAGUUCAUGCCAAUGUCAGUCCUCAUCAUGCUGGUGUAAAUAUAAGGAGGGAAACUGAUGGGAACACAGGUGGGCUAAAAAACAAAAUGAAAUCUGACCGGGCCACCAGAAAUCAUUCAAAAGCUAAAUCAUCUGCAGGAUUGAAAAGGGGCAGGAGAGCUGUGAUUGAAUCAAGUGAAUCAAGCAUGUCAGAAACUAGUAGUGACAGCGAGGAAGAGAUUCUUGAAAAUGGUCCUGCUGCAAAUAGUGCAGGGCCAGGUCAACAAACCCGCAGAUCAAGCAGGCAGAAGCAAGAAGUUAAGUAUAAUGAAGAUAGCGACAACGAAGAUGUUGAAGAUGACGAUAACAAGGACGUUGAUGAUUUUGUGAAUUCUCCUGUAUUAAAGAGGUUGAGGAAAAGUGUGUUCCAUGGUGAUCACAGCAAUACAGCAGCAAAGCCGAACACAGACAUAGCUGACCAUAAUGGUCCGACAAAUGGUGUUAAUGACUGCAGGAACACAGAAGAUAAAGGGAAAGGAGGUGAGUCAUGUGGAGAUAAAACAUCCAAUGGAAUUGAGCAAAUGAAGAGAGGAACAAUGCAUGCUGGAAAAAAUAAUGAUGGAAAAGAAAAGGCAUUUGAUUCUGUCAGCAACAAUGGUCCAGUUCUAAAUGAUCGAAAAGAAAAGGCAUUUGAUUCUGUCAGCGACAAUGGUCCAGUUCUAAAUGAUGAUGAUGCUCCAGGUGAUAAUCAAUACUACACAUUUAUGGAUCCUGAAUUUUUUGAUUUUGACCAACUUCGAGGUGUAAAUCAAUUUAGAGCCAACCAGAUCUGGGCUGUCUAUGAUGAUCAAGACUGUAUGCCUAGAUUUUAUGCUCGAAUCACGAAGGUAAAAACUACCCCAAAGUUUAUGCUGCAUUUUGUUUGGCUGGAGCUUGAUCCCACAAAUAAAGCGGAGAGGGCAUGGUCUUACGGAGGUCUGCCUGUUGCCUGUGGACGCUUUAUGCAUGGACAGUCAGAGACAGCCAAAGAAACUGCUAUGUUCUCGAGAACUAUAUCCUUUGAGAAAAGCAAGACAAGAAACUCCUAUGAAAUAUAUCCAAAGAAAGGUGAAGUUUGGGCUCUUUUUAAGGGAUGGGAUAUUGGUUGGAGCUCAGAUGCUGACAAUCACAAAAAAUUCAACUAUCGGUAUGAAGUGGUUCAAGUUCUCUCUGAUCUCACCACGAGCACUAGCAUUAUUGUCAUGCCGCUUGUGAAGAUAAAAGGUUAUGUUAGCUUAUUCAUGCAGUCUAGAGAGGCAGCUCCAUACGUGAUAUCUCAGGGUGAGACACUGAGGUUUUCUCAUUGUGUCCCGCAUCAUUUGAUGAGAGGAACUGAAAAAGAAGGCGUUCCAGAAGGAUCUCUUGAACUUGAUCCUGCAGCUCUUCCCCUUAACUUGGAAGAGGCUUUUCCAUCUGUUGUCCCAGAAUGCAGUUCUGUAAGAAGUCAGGGACGUGAUGCCAAACAUGCAGGUUCGGCCAGUAGGAAUAGCUCCCACAGAGGAUCUAGGAAGGUGAGUGAUGGGCAACAUACAGCAUCCAUGAAUGUAGGGAUCGCUACAAAGACACCAAAGGAAGAGAAUAGCAAGCAUAACACUGGUACUGCUGAACUUACAGAUGUCGAUGAUGAUAAUGUCCAAACAGAGUAUGUCUGUGCUGAAUCAGAAUUCUAUUAUUUUUCAGAAAUAAGAUUGCUUCAAAAGUUUUCACCUGGGCAGAUCUGGGCUCUCUAUAGUGAUGUAGAUAAAUUCCCCAAUUACUAUGCUUACAUACAGAAAGUUGAUCUCAAGAAUGAUAAAGUGCAAGUUAGAUGGCUUGAUGUUUGUCCUCGAGGAGAAGAGGAGAAAAGAUUGCUUCAAGAAGAACGGACAGUUGGGUGUGGAACCUUUAGGCUUUCAAGCAUUCACGAGUUGAUGACUUACACUGGUACAGAUGCCUUUUCUCAUCCUGUAGAGGCAAGAUCUGCUGGCAGAAAAGGCGAGUAUGAAAUAAUUCCUCAUCUGGGUGAGAUAUGGGCUGUUUACAAGAAUUGGAGGGCAGGAUGGACUGCACACGAUUUUGAAAACUGUGAAUAUGAACUGGUGGAGAUAUUUGGCCAAACUGAUUCGUCCAUACAGGUUCAGCUUUUGAGGAAAGUGGAUGGUUAUAGGACGGUAUUUAUGCCAUACAGAGCAGAGGGAUCUGUGAAGACAAUAAGAAAGGAUGAGUACCCCAAAUUUUCUCACCAGAUUCCUUGCUUUCAUCUGACACAUGAAAAAGGUGGCAAGCUUCGAGGCUAUCUGGAGCUCGAUCCAUUGUCGGUACCAGAGGAAUUCCUCUUUACUUGAUUCAAUGUGAGAAGCCUUAUCUGCAGUGAAUCUGGAGCUUUCUUGUGAUGAAUUUUCCGGAACUAAGGUUCUGCGAAUGUUGGAUGGUUCCACAAUUCUGCAUUUUUCUUUUGAGUGACAGACAUAAGGUGUCUGGAUUUCAGCAUCUGUAGCACUAACGUUAUGGUGGACUAGAUUUGGGCCGUACCAAUCUGCACAACGAAGGCAUUAAAUUGGACUCUUUUGCUAGAUGGCUAUCCGGCAGCAGGCUGCAGUUCAAAAGAUGAGUAAUUUUGUUGCAGCUGCUAUUUGUAGUUAGCAUUAGUUGUAUCUAGUGUUUUAGUUCUGAUGUAAAAACUGCAGCUCUUCCUUUUUUUUCCUCCUAGUGUAAUCUAAAUGGUAGUACUGUAUUUGAACUGUGGGAGGCCAACCUGAUGAAUUAUCAGAAGAGGCCUGUUGCCUCCCUUUCCUGAAACUGAAACAUGAAAUCCAACAAGUCAGGUUUGGCUGAUCUAUUAGUGAUGGUUAUGCUGGUGUUGCUGUGAAGGGGAUGGACAGGACACCCUCCUGCGGGCUGCGGCUCGUCUUAUAACUUCAUUUCUAUUCGAAUCUCCCUCUGUAUAAAAGUUGCACUUGCGUCCUGAUUUUGAUAGCCUCCUUUUUUCUGGAGCUCUGUUCAUUUGCUGUGAUUAGGAUCAGACGAGUCUCAUGUCAAACUUACUGAAUUUCUGUUACGGGAUAGAAUCAUGAAAGGUUGUAGUUCAUAUGUGGAGAUUUUCUUUCACCUCUAUCUUCAUCAUUAGUUUGUUCACUGUAUGCAUUAUUCUGAAAGGAUAGAAUCAUAAAAGUUUGUAGUUUGAUGACUAAAAUCAGAUUCUGGCAAUAGUUUGAUGCCCCAAAAAUGGACUUUUGCCAAAAUACUAUCCUACCCUGUUAGCAUCAUUCAAUAUCAUCUCAUGUAUUCAGUAUUCUACAGUUGCAGCAGCUGAAGUUUGUGAGUCCUGAGGUGAGGAGAAAUGAACUUGAGUGUUUCAAGUUUCUUUGAACUAUGUUGGUACUUUUUUUAGACCAACUAUGGUUGUUAGUUAAGACGAACUACAUGACUCAACAUGAUAAAUGAUAACGACUAUACUUGAACGAAGGAGCCAAACAUGACACAUCGAGAAGCAGGGGGCAGUUCGAAAUGAAAUGGAACGAAAAUGGAGCUUGAUCAUCUAUUUCUGCAGGGAUUCCAAAUUGGCCUCCCUCCUGAUGCAACCUCUCUCUCCACGAUCAUGCCCGUACGUGUAUGCCGAAAUGCAGAUGUUCAUUCACUUGCUUUAUUUCUUUUGAAAAAGCAAACUGGUGCUACUGUUCAUCAUGAAUUGACCAUGGCCCUGUUCGUUCAACACGGUCCAUUUACACAAGUGCCGCUGGAUCCACAGCUGAUGACGGCCCAUUACAGCUGCCCGUCUAAUCACAUCGCGCAGCCCAGCUGCAUCCCGCCCGCCCAACUCAAAACCCACGCUCACAAGUCACAACAUGCGCCAACGGCCUGUUCACACCGGUCACAAAAGUCGUUUUGGAGAACUACGUUAAUAGAUUUUUUAUUUUUGUUCCAAACUGCUCCGUCUAGGUACGUUUAGAUUUUUCCAAAAUUAAAUAUUUUUACAAUUUUAGUCAAUAAAUAAUUAUUUAUAGAAAAUGUUAUAUAUUAUAAUAGUUGGUUUCACAAUAAACCUACUAACACAAUUUUUAUAUUAUUAGUCUAUAAUUAUUUUGCUAUUCGUACUUAAAAUUAAAAAAGUUGAAUUGAAAAAAAUCUAAACAUAGUUGAAUUGAAAAUAUGGAGGGAGUAUGCAUUUAGAAGAAUAAUAUAAAUCUAAAUAUAACUGUUACAGUAAAAAUCAUUGGAUUUUAUAAACAUCCCAUACUCUAAUAGAAAUCAGUGUAGAUUCCGAUAUUCUUCCGAUAGAAAACAGUGGCUAAAAUUACCGAUAAGAGAUCCUUGCAUUCCAGAACAUACAUUGUUUUGCUGGCCAAAACCAGUAAUAGUAACAUAAAAAAACAAAAUCACGCGAUAUUGGAUGCACGCUAGGGAUGGAUGGCAAAAAUGUUGGUCCAAAGCUUUAAAUCACUAAGCAUGAAGAAAGGAAAAACACCUCCCCAGGAGCCUCUAAGAAAUUAUGGUGUCUGAUUGAUUAACCAAACGAAGGCUACAUAACUGUUUGACACGGGUUUUAAUUUUGACUACAUAUCUUCAAUGCAAAACGACGGCAAAAAGAACAGAAGACCUAUACCAACAGCAACAAAUGAUGAUUAGUUAAAUACCUGAUGGAACAGACCUCCAUCAAGAACCCAGUGAAUGGUAACCAGAACAAACAACAUGCUCCUAAUACAUAU
rnacentral:lncRNA from 1 species